GCCUAUGCGAGCCUUACCGGAUCUCUUGUACAUUUUUUCAGUUUACUUUACCUAUGAGAGACUUAUUAGAUAUGCAUAUUCUUACUAACUAAACAAAGGAGGGCAUAGUGAUUUACAACCUCCGGAUUUAAAGUCGUCUUUCAAGUAAAAAAGUAAUAAAGGAAAGAAUAGAAAGGAGAAUCCGCGUCUUUUUCGUUUUUUAGUACAGAAAGUUUACGGAAGGAUUAGUAGAGUAGUGUGCUUAGGUCGUGGUCUAGAGUACUUCCUUUCGCGCCUUGGUUAGCCGAAGAGAAGUGUGCAUGAAAUGGUGGAGCAAUUGACUAACAAAACUGGGUCAACAAGUUGCGUAGACUUCAGACCCACUUUGCUUUCACGAUUUUACCUUGGCAUUCUCUUUAUUUCGAAAGGAAGGCUUCAUCUUCCGCUUUGCACUGGCCCCAUUCCUAAAGUUCGUAUUCUUCGAUCAUAAAGGUGAAGAAAAGUCUAACUAAAGCAGAAAGAGGAAAAAAGGGAGCCUGUCAAUCCUAAGAAUGUGGUCUCAAUCCUUGCGUUCCGGGCAAGCUUAAGUUUUGUAACAAGCCCCCUGAUCCGCAUGUGUUAAGCAUAUAGUUUCAGUUUAGACUUCUUUCUCGAUAGAGCGGAACUAGGACUCUAAAAAGAACAGAUUGUACUACAGGCUGAGACCUCGUGAGGUGGAAUGAGAACCUACCCCACAUUUCCAUUUUAUAUAAGACAGACUGCGGGAUAGGGCAAUGGGGAGAGAUGUGAUAUCAAGGACUUCGGCAAGGAGACAUAUAGCUUAGCUUACUUAGGAGGAAAGAAUGACAAAAUUCGGAAUGGAAAAAGGGUGGAUGCAAUAGAAUCCGCUCUCAUUAGCAGGAAUUCUCUUAAAAAAAAUAAGAAGACUCGCUUUGCUUUCUGUACUAAAAAACGAAAAAGACUCUUUGAUUCGUUUUAUAUUAACUAUCUAACGGAAAAGACGGUUAAUAGGAUUCUUGUACUGAACUAAAUAUGGAACUGAAUUCCGCUAAAAGACUGUUUGACUUCUCUUCUUUGUUAGUUUAGAUCCCUCGGACUCGUUCCGGUGAGUAGAAGCUGAAUAGAAAACCCAAUGAAGAAGGAAGGGAGACAUAUCUUGCAUCUGAUCGUGGAAAGAAGAAGCGCCUUGCAAGCAUCAUAAUCAAAGAAGGAGAUAAAGAGAUAAGACCUUGACCAAUGCACUCAACCUCGGGGAACUACGCCCGGAAGCAGUACCGGUAAGAAGGGGAAUCAAAAAGUUUCAUUUUCUCGGUAUUUUUCGCAUCAAUAGGAAGUGAACAAGUCUUGGAGCUGUUGUUCGUCCGUUUCCGGUUGGGAAGGUAGCAAGGUUCGUUGUCCUCUCACUCGAUCGGAGAGGGAGGGCCAAAGACGGAGAACGGCUAGCAGCGAUAACACCAACAGCUUCAAAAUAUCGGGUGUAGGAGAAGAAGCCGAUAGGGGGGUGGAAGGUAGCGAAGAAGCUAAGCUAACACUUUUUCAAAGUACUUUCUUAUAGAAUAAGAAAUCCCCACAGGCAGCGGUGGCAUCGAUGUCAUCGUCAUCACGGUCCCGAGCCAACCCUACUAGAGGUCGAUCUCUUAGAGCGGCGAAGUUCGGCCAAUCCAUCCUAUCCUGGAUUCCGAAAAAAAGCCCAAUUGAAUGUACACUCGAGGAGGACUGAACAGAUGUGGAGGAUCCUGACAAACUUGGGGAAAGCACACCUUGAAGAGUUGACAUCUGAGAUUGAAGAUGAUGUCAACCAAGAAGGUUUAUGGCAAACUGGAAGGAGUAAGGAGGGAUAAAUGAUCUACCUUAGGUAAUGCUCUGCUUUCAGUGGGAACCGGUGGAGAUUGAGGUGAAGGUCUAUCCUCUCUCUCCCAGUGCAGUUGGUGGAAGUCCCCCUUUCCUCUUAUAGAUCUAAGAGUUUGUUUUUUCCCUCCUAAGCUUUAACUGACCAAUCUAAGAAAUUUAGAAUAGAAUCGUUGAAAUUGUUCAUAAUUGUUCUAUCUAUCUUCAAGGUUUUUCAAGUCUCUUAGGGCUCCGGGGACCGGCUUCGCGGGACCAUUUCGGUCCACACAGGAAAGGUAAGAUAGGUACCCUACCUCUCUCUGGCUAGGCUCUAUUGGGCGGAGCUUUCUCGAGAAACUAGAAACCGAUAAUGAAGUUCGAUGAAACAAGAAGAUUAUUACUUACGAUAUGAAACUUCUACUUCUUUCGAACUCUUUAUCUUCUUCUCUUACGAUAUUGAAUUUCUAGUUAGCUAUUGUAUUCAACUUCUGAUUCUAUUAUAUUACGAUAUUUCGAAUUUGAUAAUAGAAGAAAGAGAAAGCCUUUCGACUCUCGAGUUACUGACUUUUUUCUAGUGAUUCAAAAGUCAUUUCUCGAGAAAACCGGUUGGAAGAGGAACGAGCGUAAGACUUGUAGCUCUAUCUUGAGAAAGGGAGAGCGUAGUACUUGUAGCGAGUCAGAGAACUUUUGGAAUACUUGGAGCGAGAAGGUUGAGAGGAGUGGGGAUGUAGCUCGUUCCCUAUCGGUCUCACCUCUACGCCCCUUAGCCGAAACCAUGUCUUAUUUCGCUUUCUCCAAUCAGGGAACUUCCGAGGGAAGGCCCGAGAUCUUCAAUCUUCCACUGGAUUAGCUUUCUCGUUGGAUGAGCAUUUAGUCUCCCUCUAAAGGAGCUUGUUAAGCAUGGUCAUCACUACCUCCUGAGAACUUAACCAAAAGCCUCUUUUCCACGACAUGAUGGCUUCAGCGGGUGGACUUUGUAUUACCCAUCGUCUCGUAUUGCGGGCAUCUCCGAGUUCAAUGGUCUUCAUAGCGUAGAAAACUGCGCUGCCGAGAUCAUCGGUAAUUGGGACCAUAAUGGCCAUGAAGAGUUGUUCCUGGAGUGGCCAAAUAAGGAGCAAGUAAGAAGAGGCUGGCCCGGCAACAACCCCAUAUGUAGCGUCAGUCUCAUUUUAGGUAAAGAAAGCCCGUAACAGCUAAUCGUAUGAUGAAUGCAUUUCUUCUUGAGGUGAAUCGUGGUCGUGGACCCUUCCCCGCUCCCUCUUUUUCUACAAGAGUUGCAAUCGCAGCUUUCAUUUUAGUCGUACAUGCAGUCGGCACUGGAAUAUGACUACCUCUAUUGAUUGAAGACUUUUUCUUGAUUUGCGAUAGUGCCAACCCAUCGUAUAUAUCGUCAUGUUGGAUAAGCGCUUCGCUCGCAUGCGGGGCGUCAGACGAUCUCGGUACUAAACGAAAUUCAAGCGUGUGAAUGAGUCGCUUUAGGUGCUUGUACGACACCAGCGAUAGACUAAGAGUAUAUAGAUAGAAGAAAAAGCGAGGCUCGUAUUAGUUGCCUUCUCGCCCAACGGCCUAUUAUUAGAGCAAUAGCUUCGCAGUGACCCGUUGAAACCAUCCUCACGGGCGUUUAGGCUUGACGUUGUGGGGGGUCUUUUUGACCAUCAUCUAGUGGUUCAAAGAAAAUUAGAGUGGAAGAAAAAGUUGCUUUCUUUCUUCUUCUUCACAUUUCUCUGCCCCAUCUAGGAUGAGUAAGCAUCGGUGCAUUUCCCAGAAGGCUUUAGGCUAACUCAUCGAUUUUAGUUGUUGAAUGGAUCGUAAGACAUGAUGCCCUUACUUGAAAGGAAGGUAUACAAGGUUCCUUAAAAGAUCGCUUUGUAGAAAAAAAAUUGGCUUGUUUCGACUCAUCUAAGAACCAUCUACGUGCUAGACCCGCCGACCUGUGAGAAAGAAGGAAUUCUCUGUCAAAAGUCAGGAAAGACCACCGCCCUACUUAAGAGCUAGACGGUAAGAACGAUUCCAGCUUUGACUUUGAUCGCACUUACUCUAAUGAAAUCCUACCCUUGAGAACUUAGGUCAAGCCUAACCUCACUCGAGGAUGUUAUCUUAAUUACAGUCCCUUGAGAGAAGAAUAAGAAGUCGUGGUGACUCUGGGCUUGUUCUGCAUUUUUUGUCGAUUUCUUUCUUAGUGGAUCGAAUCAAUAUGACAAGCGUCCAUCCUCAUCAAUCAAACUAUCAACUAACGGCUGGAUAGAAAGAUUCUUUCUCUCUAAAGGAGGUCAGCUAGAGCGGCUUCCACCGAGAGAAAAGUCCCACAUCUGAUUCACGUGCAAAGAAGAUUGACUGAUGCAAUACUCUUCUAUAAUAGUUAUUCUAGUGCAGCUAGGAGAGCUAACUAAGACUAGGAGCGGAUUCUAUACCAGUCACAGCGGAUUCUGGGCAUCAAUGCACUAACUCCUUCGCUGUCUUGUUUGCCUUUCUUCCGUUUGACCGGACAGACUCACACUCGGACUGACCGAUGGCAUUUCUUCCCUGGCUUGGAACCGUUGUACAGCUACUAUUCAUCAAAUCAUUCCCUCUUGCCCGUACUUCUUUUCCCUUCUAUUCUGAACUUCAAGACAACUGCUUUCAAGCGGAAUGCUUUGCUGAGGUGACUAUCAACUCAAAGAUCCAAUUCGCUAUCCUAUAAUAAUAAGAUCACAUUCGAGGAAAGAGAGUCAAAGAAAGGAGAUUGCUUUAAAGAAAGAAGGGAUUGGACUUCGCGCUGGGAAUGCAAAAGACAGAGUGAGAGAGAGCGGGGAAGGAAUGCUAUCGACGGAUCUGCCCUUACUAGACGAAAUUCCUAAGGCACCGAAGAAGGGCUAUUCAAAGCAUCGAGGAAUUUUUUUAACAUCUACACCCAAUUUGAAUAAGGAUAGUGGAAUUCCGUCCUAAGGAAAAGUCUUAGGUAAGGAGAUCUAAAUUCUAUUCUUUGUGGCAUAAGUGAAAGUAUCUAUUUCACUUUCAAAAAGAAAGCAGUCUACACUAAAUUCCCUCUUCGAUACGGGUGGAUGCGAAAAAUACGGUCUUUGAAGGAAGAAUAGAAUAGGGUGUAGGGGGGCGCCACGAGACGAGAUAGAAAACAUAGGAAAAUAACAACAAAUAUCGUAAGAGAAGAAGUUGACUUUCGAAGUUUCAUAAUCAUAAGAAUAUCGUAGAAGUUUCAUAAUACGUUCUUUCGAACUGAAUUAUCGGUUUCUAGUUGAUCGAGAAAGAGAAAGAGAAAAGAAAUUGAGAGAAUCAGACUUAUCCUAAUCUAGUUUCAAUUGAUUCAAGUUAUCUCGUCUAAAGAGUCUAAAUAAACUAAUUUUGCGUUUUCCCCGUCUUUUUUGUUACAGCUUCAAAUCCCUUCCUAUCAGAGAUGGCAAAGUCGUAAAGUUGCGUUUUCCCGGGAUUUUGAGAUGCAAUUAUCAUAUUAUAAGUUUUUAUACUAUGAAAGUGAACCAGAAGUUUAAAGAACGUAUUAAGGAUUCUUCGAUUGAAGUAUGAAACUUCUUUUCUUCUUUUCUUCUCGCUUUCGCACCUCUACCCUUUUUCGCUCUUCUCCUUUCAGUCUUACGCUCUUACGUCUUUCGCUCUUUUCCUUUCCCACUAGGAUUCUCACUGAAGGCAAGAGAAACUUGUAUUUCUUCCCUUUCGAGGCAAUCGUAGCCAAGCUCUGAGACUAUUCAAGCUAGCGUGGUAACGAGACGGUGAGUGAAAGUGAAUCGGUUAACGAGACUUAGUAAGAUGCCUAGCUAGUUUUGAACCAGAGCAGGGAAGUCUACUUGACUCUUGAAGUGCUAGUCGAAAUUGCCUCUGUCCCCAAUUCUUCGCCUACAAAGGCUUAGCUCAUUGGUGGAAUUGUUCGUCACUCUGAACUGAUCAUCGAUAGGGGGUUCGCUCCCUAUUUGACUCAGUUUCGAAAUUGGUUAUCCGGGUCCAGAGGGAAGAGCAAGGUCACUCAGCCAAGAGGGAUAGAAUCACUACUAGUUCGACUACUACCAAUCCGAUAGCUACCCCAGCUUAGCUACCAGUUUUGGGAGAGCUACUAGUCCCUUGCCCUGCUAUACGCUUAACUGGUGGUCUUACCGCAAAGGGGGCAAAGCAAUUCGUUUAGUCCUAUGGCAAUAGAAAAUGAAAAGACUGAAAGGGAACCCGAGGACAGGAUAUACCUCCUGUCAUGAGCCACCCUUGUAUAGGGCCAUGACCGAGACUUAGGUUGCCAUGAGCCAUCCAUGUAUAGGGCCAUGGCCGGGUAGAUCCCUUGUGCUAGGAAAAGUGUCCCCAUUUCAAACAUUGUAACGGUUACUGGUAGCAUAGCUCUAAAAGUUCUAAGGCUCUUUUAGGGGGGUGAGCCGGCAGCGUAGUGUUGGGCUGUCUCACCAGGUGCUAUGCGAGCUUAGGCCACCCACCAAGGGCUGCCCCCCUGGCCCUGGUGAUGGUGGGAGGUCCCAAUGUAUGAUUCCCGUUUAUAAUAUAAUUCACCCCGAUUGAAUGCCCGAUUGUUGCCUCGAUGUGUUUCUUUCUUUCUCGAUGUGAAUGUGCGUUGUUAUGUGUAUGCUUGAGAUUGACCUCGAUAUAUUGUGCCUUAUUGUGAAUGCUUGAGACUAACCAUGGUUUAUGGUUAUUUGUUCAGAUCUCGAUCUAUUGAAGGCUGACUUGGAUAGAAGCGUCCAUUCAAGUGCCACACGGGCUAGUGCUUGUUGAGAGAAAGCUUAGUCCGUGACACGUCGUAUCAGAGCACGACUGAGAAGUGCUAGAGAAAUGGAUGAGAUGGCCACAAGUGGUGGACCAGAUCAUCAGCAGAGAAUUGAGGAACUUGAGGCCGCGGUGACCGUAAUGAAAACUCAUAUGGUGACAAAAGACCGAGUGAGGGAGAUCGAAACAACCCAGCGGGAGUUGUCCGAUACUCUCCACAAUGUGAGCGAAGAGGCUAGAGAUGCCUUGAACAUUCUCCAAAAGAAGUUUGAGGAGCUCAGGGCCCAGGUGAGCAUCCUACAAAUGGCUGUGGCUAGAUCAGGUUCGAGCUCGAUGGACAGGGGACAAAGGCCCAAGGUGCCGGAGCCUCGAUGUUAUGAGGGGGCAAGGGAUGCUAAGGAACUUGAGAAUUUCUUGUUUGACAUGGAACAAUACUUUCGAGCUGUACACACAAGUUCAGAGGAAGACAAGGUGACAAUGGCAUCGAUGUACCUCGCAGGGGAUGCCAAGUUGUGGUGGCACUCCAAGUUUGUCGAUGACGAGUGCCUGAUUAAGACUUGGACGGAUCUGAAGUGAGAAUUGAAAAACUAGUUUUUUUCGAAGAAUGUGGAGUAUAUGGCUCGAAGGAGACUUCGAGAGUUGGUGCAAACCGGAACGGUGCGAGAGUUCGUAAGGAACUUUUCUACCCUGAUGCUGGAUAUUCGGGACAUUUUCGAAAAGGACAAGAUGUUCUAUUUUCUUGAGGGCCUCAAGCCGUGGGCGAGGACAGAGCUACAAAGGUAAAAAGUGCAAGAUGUGGCCAUGGCCAUGGCUAUAGCGGAACGUCUUCAUGAUUACAAUGAUGGCUCCUUAAAACGAAAAAAUCCUCCAUCAACUGGCAGUAGCUUUAAUCUUGGGAGUGGGGGAAAGAUAACUAGGUUGGACCGACCCUUCAGUGGGAGAUCAGACAGGAGGUCCUUUGGGCGAGAUAGCACCUAGCCUAAGACAAACAACGUAGGGAUUUUCAAGCCUAGGCAACCGCUAGCUUGCUUUCUUUGCAAGGGGUCGCAUCGAGUGGCUGAAUGCCCACACCGAUGAGCCCUUAAUGCCUUAAGGACCUCAUCCCAAGAGUCCGUAAAAGCGCCAGAGAGCGUUGAAGAAGCUGAAGAGGAGCCAGCCAGGAUGGGCUCAAUAAGGUUCCUCAGUGCCCUCCGCACCCAAUUGAACACUAUAAAGAAAGAGCAAAGUAGAGGCUUGAUGUACGUGAACUUGACGAUCAAUGGGAAAGCCACAAAGGCCAUGGUGGAUACGGGUGCAACCGACACUUUCAUCACACCAGAAGAAGCAAAAAGGUGUGGUCUUCAGAUUAGUAAAGACUGUGGGCGAAUGAAGGCGAUCAAUUCGCCAGCCUUUGCGAUCAGUGGAAGCUCGAAAAGUGUGACAACCCGAUUGGGGGCAUGGGAAGGGAAGGUAGACUUCACAGUCUCCCCUAUGGAUGACUUUGAUGUCAUUCUCGGAUUGGACUUCAUGACGUUGGCUCAGGUGAUCCCUAUCCCCGCUGUUAGCUGCUUGUUGUUCUUAGGAGAACACCCAUGUGUGGUGCCAGCCAAUAUCUUGCCAAAGAGUGGGAAGAAAAUGAUUUCGGCUUUGCAAUUCAAGAAAGGGGUAAAGAGAGGGGAACCCUCUUUUGUGGCCAUGCCGAUCUACAAAGAAGGGUCGAAAGUAGAACCAAUACCCGAUGGCGUGAAGAAAGUGUUGGAAGAAUUCGGAGAGGUGAUGCCAGAGAUGUUGCCUAAGGUUCUACCCCCUCGACAAGCAGUGGACCAUGAAAUUGAGCUCCUCCCAGGAGCAAAACCCCCUGCUAGAGCUCCCUAUCGCAUGGCCCCGCCAGAGUUGGCCGAGCUGAGAAAAUAGUUAGAUGAGCUUCUACAAGCCGGGUUCAUCAGACCAUCAAAGGCUCCUUUCGGAGCGCCAGUGCUAUUCCAGAAAAAGCAUGAUGAGAGUUUGCACUUAUGUGUUUACUACAGGGCCCUGAACAAAGUCACCGUAAGAAACAAAUAUCCUAUCCCGCUCAUAGCCGACUUAUUUGAUCAAUUGAGCCGGGCCAAGUACUUUUCCAAAUUGGACCUGAGAUCUAGAUACCAUCAGAUUAGAAUCGUUGAGGGAGAUGAGCCAAAGACCACUUGUGUAACACGAUAUGGCGCAUUUGAAUUUCUUGUUAUGCCCUUUGGACUAACCAAUGCUCCUGCCACAUUUUGUACAUUGAUGAAUCAGGUGUUCCAUGACUACCUUGACAAAUUUGUAGUCAUUUAUUUAGACGAUAUAGUGGUGUACAGCUCCACCUUGGAAGAACAUUAAGAACACCUACGCCGGAUUUUUGAAAGGCUGCAGGAUCACCGGUUAUAUGUAAAAAGGGAGAAAUGCGCGUUUGCUCAGACCCAAAUCCACUUUCUCGGUCACAUUGUCGAACGUGGCCACAUUCGAAUGGACAUGGAAAAGGUUAGAGCCAUUAAGGAGUGGACUACACCAAAGAAUGUUAGUGAACUCCGCUCAUUUUUUAGACUAGCCAACUAUUAUAGAAGGUUUGUGGAAGGGUACUCUCACAAGACCACGGCCCUCACGGAGUUAUUGAAGAAGAAGCAUAAAUGGUGUUGGACCAGCGAGUGCCAAGAGGCCUUUGAGAGAUUGAAAGAUGCUAUUAUGAAAGAUCCCUUCUUAGCUCUCUCCGAUAUUGAAAAGCCUUUUGAAGUUCAGACGGAUGCAUCAGAUUUUGCUAUUAGAGGUGUGCUUUUACAACAACAUCACCUGAUAGCAUUUGAAAGCAGGAAGCUAAGCGAAACGGAGAGGAAAUAUACGGCCCAGGAAAAAGAGCUCCUGGCAGUGGUUCAUUGCUUGAGGGCUUGGCGACAUUACUUAUUGGGUUCACACUUUGUCGUGAAGACGGACAACGCAACCGUUAGCCACUUUUUCACCCAACCAAGGCUUAUGGUGAAACAAGCUAGAUGGCAGGAAUUUUUAGCGGAGUUCGACUUUCACCUUGAGCAUACCGCUGGAAAGGCCAAUCAGGUGGCGGAUGCAUUGAGCAGGCGACCAGAGUUGGCGGCCCUCAAAAGAAUGGCCCCAAUGGCAACUAGUAGAGCCACUACGGACAUUCAUAAGUUGAUUGGAGAUCAUCUAGGGAAGGACCCGUAAGCCUGUGCCAUCUUGAAGCUAGUGGAAGAAGGGAAAUCCAAAUACUUCUGGCAAGAAAAUGGUGUCUUAUGGACCAAGGGGCCUCGAGUGCUUGUGCCGAAAGCAGGAGGGUUGAGACAGAUGCUGAUGAGGGAAUGCCAUGACACCUCAUAGGCGGGACACCCAGGCUGGCAACGCACUUUAGCGUUACUGAAACAAAGUUACUAUUGGCCCCACAUGCGACAAGAUGUGAUGGACUACACGAAGACUUGCCUCAUUUGCCAACAAGACAAAGUCGAAAAGAGAAAACCUGCGGGCAUGCUGGAACCAUUACCGGUACCUACCAAACCGUGGGAAAGCAUCUCCCUCGAUUUCAUUUCGAGCCUACCCAAGUUUGGGGAUCUUGGAACUAUCUUGGUGGUAAUUGAUCGGUUCUCCAAGUAUGCCACAUUCAUCCCCGCUCACAAGUAUUGUACAGCAGAAGACACAGCUCGACUAUUGUUCAAACAUGUGGUCAAAUAUUGGGGCCUCCCUCAAAACAUCGUCAAUGAUAGAGAUCCGAGAUUAACGGGGUCCUUUUGAAGAGAACUUUUCAAGAUUUUAGGGUCCCAACUCAGCAUCUCUUCGAGCUACCAUCCUCAGACCGAUGACCAAACGGAACAUUUCAAUGGAUUGUUGGAGGAAUAUUUAAGGCACUUUGUCCAAGCCAACCAAAAGGACUGGCCUUCAUUGUUAGACGUUGCUCAACUCUGCUUCAAUUCCAACAAGAGCUCUUCCACUAACAAGAGCCCAUUUGAGGUGGUCACUGGACAACUACCAAGGCUACCCCACACUUCCUUGGAACAAUAUGGAGGAAAGAAUCCGAGAGCUUUCAACUUCAGCAAGGAGUGAAAACAAAACACAGAGAUUGCACAAGCUUAUCUGGAGAAGGCAUCAAAGCGGAUGAAAAAAUGGGCAGACAAGAAUCGCAGAGCUCAGCAAUUCCAAGUUGGUGAUUUGGUUCUGGUCCAACUAGUUCCAGAACAAACCGGGUUCUUAAGAAAGAGAGAUCGUAGACUGGUGCGCAAAUAUUAAGGUCCAGUAAGGGUCAUUUCCAAGGUGGGGAACGUUUCUUACAAAAUCGACCCAUCGAAGUGGAUGAAGGUGCACCCAGUAUUUCAUGUAAGCAACCUGAAGCCUUUCCACGCAGAUCCUACAGAUAUUAGCCAAAAUGAGCCAACCAGAGCCGCCAUCACCAUGAAGCCACCCUCAGAGUGUCGAGUCGAAGAGAUCUUAGCCGACAGGGAAACCAAGAUAUCUCGAAGACUAGUUCGGGAAUACUUAGUGAAGUGGGAAGGCUUAGGACUAGAAGAAACCAGUUGGGAGAGAGAACACGACCUCUAGAGAUUUCAAAGGAAGAUUGAAGAAUUUCAAGCCAGCAAGUCGACGAAGACGUCGAUAGAAUAGGUGGGGGAAGAUGUCAUGAGCCACCCUUGUAUAGGGCCAUGACCGGGACUUAGGUUACCAUGAGCCACCCAUGUAUAGGGCCAUGGUCGGGUAGAUCCCUUGUGCUAGGAAAAGCGUCCCCAUUUCAAACAUUGUAAUGGUUACUGGUAGCAUAGCUCUAAAAGUUCUAAGGCUCUUUAGGGGGGUGAGCCGACAGUGUAGUGUUGGGCUGUCUCACCGGGUGCUAUACGAGCUUAGGCCACCCACCAAGGGCUGCCCCCUGGCCCUGGUGAUGGUGGGAAGUCCCGAUGUAUGAUUCCCGUUUAUAAUAUAAUUCACCCCGAUUGAAUGCCCGAUUGUUGCCUCGAUGUGUUUCUUUCUUUCUUGAUGUGAAUGUGCCUUGUUGUGUAUAUGCUGAGAUUGACCUCGAUAUAUUGUGCCUUAUUGUGAAUGCUUGAGACUUACAAUGGUUUAUGAUUAUUUGUUCAGAUCUCGAUCUAUUAAAGGCUGACUUGGAUGGAAGCGUCCAUUCAAGUGUCACACGGGCUAGUGCUCGUUGAGAGAAAACUUAGUCCGUGACACCUCCCCUAGUUGUUCGCCGCAAGACAGCAAGAAGGAACGCGUGCAAAGCAAGCAGCCAAUGCGAGAAAGGGGCAGCUAGCAGUACUGGAUGAUGUUGAGGAAGACGGACCGGACUCUAGUCUACUCCAGUGGCAGAAAUUGCUGAAGUUGAUUCCAGCAUAGAGCCAGCCCGUGGAUCCGACUUUGAAGGGAUCAAGAGAAGAGAGAGUUGAGGCUCCAGUCACUGAUUAUAUGCAAGCUGUGGUCCCCCGCCGCCGUUCCAGUAGUCCUGCAGAGCCACUUUGGAAUGGAAUGUGAAUGCGACGCACGCAGAGAUGUGGAAGAACUUUAGAUCGAAAAUGAAGAAAAGAUAAGCGAGGAUGAAAGUCAAAGUUGUAUUGAAAAGUAUCGCUUACAAUUAGCGAACUGUCUAGAGGUAGAAACCUGGACUGACGAUCAAUGAUGACUGAGAGAGGAAGAGGAGCAACGAAGACUUAUAAAGAGCAAAAGGGUGGUUGAGAAUCAGGCAUACUAGGAUAGGAAAGUGAGCUAGGCAACGAAAAUGCUCAAAGGUGGGGUUAAAUAAAGUCUUGCUACUUGGGAAAUAAUUACUACUGAAUCAGCAAGAGGAGUCCUAUCCGCUAUUGAUCCCUUUAGAUCAACUACCGCAUCGUCAUCGUCUGCCUCAGUGGCGGGGGAGGGAAUUGGACUAACCUAAAGCAUUUAGUGAACUACACUCGCAGAUAAAACAUCGUCUUCGUGAAAAUACCCAUUCCCUUGUUGAAUGAGCUGAUUCAAUGCCAUGACAUGUAAUUUCACUCCGAAAGAAUGUAUCUCGAGCCAGGGUAGGCAUCCAUAUUGAAAAAGGGCUAUAGCACGGUCAAAGGCAAGAAAGAGAAGUCCCAUUUCCACCAACAACAUAAAUAGAUUUAUCGCUUCAUCAGAGAAGCUGGAGCAGAACCAUUAGUACCACUGGAGAUCUGAGAGAGUACAAAAAUAAGACAGAUCAAAACAGGACCCACAACUCAUCGUCUGCUUUUGAAAGUUCGAAAGGUUCUUCUAUCUAGGCUAAGCAGGAAUCACUAGAAUAGGAGUGUGGUGCCUGUCGUUCAGCUCAGACAUUCUAGCGCUACCACAUUCAUUAAGGAAGGGGCUAGUUCUCUAUUUACGAUUCAAUUCAGCUUUCGUCUCAAGAGAUGUCAAGUAGGAUUGUUGCUGGCAUGGAGAGUAUGAGAAGAAGUUUGGUCUAGUUAUUGCUUCUGCGGGACUCAAGAUUCAAUCUCAAAACGGGAAUCAUUCUUCUUUUUCUUACGCGGGUUAAAAAGGGAUGCACUCAAUACAUGUAGUUGAAAGUAACCUUCUCUCUCUCUCUCAUCCCCUUAAGGAGUAUAGAGAGAGUCAAUCAAGGAUGCAUUCAAUACAUAUCAACAUUCAAUACUCUCAUCUUCUAUCUGUGUUCUAGUCAUAGGGGUUGUAAGACCAACUCACUGCAAAGAAACUCCUAAGAUUUUGCCUUUGCGCUCUCCUCGUGUACUAACUGAUGGAUCAAAGGUCGAGUAGUCCAUUCCUAUUUGACAUACAUGGUUGUUGGACCUACUUUCUUCGUGUAUGAAAGAAAAGCAAAACUCACAUGACUACCUCCGGGGGCCCCGACCAGAAAACUUGCCCGCUUAACCAGUAAACUGGCGGACCUCUUUUAUGAUAAAGCAGCAGCUGGAAUAGCUUACAUAAAUUAACUACUUCCUCGUCGUUUACAGCUCUAUUUCAACCCGACUCUAUUUCAAUCCGAUCCGGAGAGCAUUUCGAAUGCAGUUAACUCAAAGGGAAAUGGAAAUGACUGACUCUCGGGUGAACCAAUUGCUUCAAGAUAGGAUUUGCUUAGCUUUCUUUUUUACCACUACUCUUAGCCUUAGCACCAAGUCAAGACCAGGCAUCAGAAAGAGCAGAAAGAGAGCACCAAAAGAGAAAGAAAGUCACUUGUAAAUCAUAGCAGAAUCCAAAGAUAGAUAGGAAUGAAAAGCCCUAGCACGCUUACGCUCUCUUAUUCGACUAUCGGUUUAUCGAAUCGGAGCGGGCAAGAGCAAGAGGAUGAGAAAGACUCUUAUUCGUACUCGCUCCUCCGUUCGUGAGCCAUCUUACCAUGGCUCACAUCUCUCUCUACUGCGGAUAAAGAACGAAAGGAAAGGCCAUAAAAGACUAGUCAAACCCGGCUACAAUUCCUUGAGAGUCUUAGGGCCUUCAACUCAAGAUUCUCCUACUAGAAGAUGCCAGCCUUUUCUCCUUGAGGUCUAAGGCUAGCAAGCGGUCUUACUCGCUCUAGCUAUAGCAACUCUAGGAAGCAGGGUCUAGCUCCAGUCCCUCUACUCUAGAUAUGGUAACUCGAGAGUAGAGUAAGGACAUUCAUUAAGGUCUAGUCCUCGUUCGUGAGCCAUACCCAUAGCUCUCUCACUACCGAUAGUUCUCUCACUCCUUCUAGUAAGGGAAAGUUCUGAUAAGGAAAGCAAUCAUAAAAGCAUGUCAACACUAAUAAAAGCGUACUCCUAGACUAGUAUAUCCGUGUAUUCCCUAUCGAGAACAAGAAGAAGAAAGACACUCUAUUACUUGAUAUGGAUUAGAAAGCGUAUAUCGAUUCUCAAUCGUACUCCUUCUCGUUCGAGAGCCAUACCCAUGCCUCUCUUCACUCUCGUGCUCUUGCUAACUCGCUUUCAACUCCUGCCUCCAGGCAGCCCCUUCGGUACUCAAGGAAGGAAAAGAAGACAAGCGGGAUGGUAUGAAAGAAUAUCUUAAGUGACCAGUGAACCUCCUACUCAUGUAGUUGAAGACCCUUGCACUGUCAGACUUCAUUCCUAUGGCCCUUUGGUCGAUCUCCCCGGUCCCCUCUCGCUUGCUUCUAAAGAGUGACUACGUUCCUGUCGGACCAUACUCUUCCACCCAGGUUCUAUCAAAGAAUUAGCCAGGAGAUAUCACUCUUUCGGCUAAGCAUUCCUAAAUACUGGUUAUAGGUUCCGCUAUCUCCGCUCUCCUUAAUAAAGAGUGGCUUAUCGCUUCCCUAUGCGUUUCCUUUUAGUUGAUUCAGUAGGCCCUGACUACACUAUCAAAGUAGGCUCCUUUCCCAGGUUCAGUAGAUAAAAAAAGAAGUAAGCUUCAAAUCCGUUGCAGCAAUCAAACUCUAAGAACAAGCAAGCGGGGCUUAGUCAAGAAAGAGAGACUGUUAUAUUAUAAUAUAAGGUUCAGGUACGCAGUAACUUUGUGAAGUAGUGAAACACUUUAAGAGAAAGAGAGCUACUCUUUAUUUUUUAUUAAGGAAGGGAAGCCUAAGGCUGGCUCGACUAAAAGGAUCCGUAGUAGAAAGAGUCUCGCUAUAUCUUUCCCUUCCCAAACAGAAAAGGGCUAUUUCCCUUUAUCCUACUAACCCUCGGGAAUCAAUUCAUUAGAAUUUGCUAUUACGUAGAAGGAUAAGGGGAUGCCCCCGAAGAUAUGGUUCAAUGGACGACCCCGCCCUAGCCAAAGAUCUAGUGGGAUAAGUUGCUUGGUCCAUAUUAUAGAUUAGGUACAAUCGAUCUAAAGAUCUAGACCUAGUGUGAGUCAAUUUACUAAGGGCACGAAAGCGCUUAGCAAACUCAGCACAGCCUGUAUUAAAGAUAAAGAUCAACGAUUUAUGAUAAGAAAAAGAUACCCCUAAUUUUGAGAAGCUGUCUUCAUAAACUGAGGCAACCUUCUCAUUGGCGAUGACAACAUCGUCACCAAGUAUGGCAUACUGACGAAACAAACGACCAGGAGAUAGGGCAACGAAAGGCCAUGAGGUAUGAUACCCGAUAGGUUGACCUGCCACGAAAGAUAGCGAAGACAACCUUUGUAAAAAAAAGGGCACCUCUAACGACGCGAAAACCUAGUUACAGACCCAGAUGGACGCGUGAUGAAUGUGAGAAAGCCGAUCUGGGUAGGGUAGCGAACACCAUUCUUGAAGACAGGCUAUUCGACCUCCUUUCAAAUAUUAUUUAUUAAAAAAAAUCGGUUCUUAGUUCAAACGAAUUGAAUUAAGAUCUUAACAAGUAACAAGGGCUUUGUGGAAGGAAUCAGGUGAUAAGUAUGGCUCCGGAGAGAAGGCAGUUAGGGUAAUCAAACCUAAAGCCCUUGCUAGUUCAUGCAGCCUAUGCUAUGCUAACAAGCCCUUAUUCUUUCAAAACUAAAUUGGCAGGUCAAUCAGGUUAAUCCAUCCCUUAGAGCAUCAGCCUUUAUUCCAUUCCGCAUCGAGGAGCAGAGGCAAUAGAAUUGGUUUUGGUGUUCAGGUCUUAUUUCGAUGAGAAGGAAAAAAAAUAGUAUUAGUAUAUGGCCGGAAAUCGGCUUCUCAGCCUAGCUAAAGAAAGUGAGGCAGCACUAUUCGCUUGAAGUGAAGUAAAGCGCUACGCCCCUUGCUUCUUACCGCAAGUCUUUGUUUCGACUCUGGUCCGUACCUGCCUGUGUACUCCCCCCCCCAUGUGCUGCUACCCUCCAGAAGGCUUUCCAUUCCAUUUUGAAGGAUUUAGAGCAUAGAAAGAAUAGAAAACAGCAGAAACUAAUCUGUCACUUGAAGUAAAUUGGCUCUACAAAUCAUGAGCUUCAUUUCAUUGAUUUAUAGGCUUCAAAAAUACAAAAGUUUGUUUAACUACUACAAAAGUUGUUUGCCUAACAGCAUGGAUUACCAUGCACAGAUCCAUCAUAUUACCUAAACUGAUCAGAUGGCAAAAUCUAUUACAAAGUGCCAGUAGAAAUGCCAUACCUAGUUGCUUCAACCACUAACACACUAACACUCCUCCUUGGCAUUUUUGCUGGAAACACCAAGACUUUUCCUUAAUGUUUCAAACCUUGCUUUUGGUAAGGCUUUGGUCAGAAUAUCUGCAAUUUGAUCUUCUAACUUGCAAUGCACAAGUUUCAUUUCAUUCUCAGCUUCAACUUCUCUAAUAAAGUGAUCCUUGAUCUUAAUAUGCUUAGUUCUUUCAUGAAACACAGGGUUCUUGACUGCUGAUUGAUUAUCACAAAAAAUUUUUGUUGGAUCAUCUUGCUUUUGACUCAAAUCCAACAAAAUUUUUCUUAGCUAAAUUGCUUGAUUAACAGCAGCUGCAGCAGCUAUAUACUCUGCUUCUGCUGUUGAUUGAGCCACAGUUUCUUGUUUCUUUGAAUUCCAGCUGACACAUUUAAUCCAAUGAAAAGCACAUAGCUUGAAGUGUUUUUCAUGUCUUCAUGAGAGCCAGCCUAGUCACUGUCUGUGAAUCCAACCAAUCUUGAACUUUCAUUCUUCUUGAACCAAAUUCCAUGUUCAUUGGUUCUUUUGACAUAUCUCAACACUCUUUUUGCAACCUUAAAAUGCAACUCACUGGGAUUUUGCAUGAACCUAGAGAGUAAAUUUGUAGCAUACAUGAUGUCUGGCCUUGUUGCUGUCAAAUACAAUAAGCAACCAACCAAGCUUCUAUAAAUAGAACCAUCAACUUUGUUAGCUCUAUCUUCUCUCAUUUUGAGCCAAAUUAGUGUUGACUGGUUUGUAAUUUUCCAUCCCAAACUUAUUCAGGAUUUCAUUUGCAUAUUUUUUUUGACAAAUGAAGAUUCCUUGCUGGUCUUGAUGAAUCUCCAUUCCAAGAAAAUAAGACAUUUCUCCCAUAUCUGUCAUCUCAAAAAUUUCCUGCAUUUGGAACUUAAAAUCUUCCACAAUAGCUGAUUUGCUACCUGUCACCAAAAGAUCAUCAACAUACAAAAAAACAAUCAAUAGAUCAUUACUGUUAAAAACUUUAAUGUACAAUGUUGCUUCACUUAGGCUUUUCUUGAAUCCUAACUUCAGUAAAUGAUCAUCAAUUAUGGAAUUCCACACUCUUGGAACUUGUUUUAAUCCAUACAAAGCCUUCUUGAGUAGAUAGACUUUACCUUCAUGUCUCUUGGCAACAAAACCAUCAGGUUGUUCAAUGUAAAUCUCCUUCUCAAGAUAACCAUUCAAGAAGGCAGAUUUGACAUCAAGUUGGUAUAUUUUCCAACUUUGCUGAGUUGCUAAGGCUAAUAGCAGCUUUAUGGUAUCCAACCUUACAACUGGAGCAAAUGUCUCUGAAAAAUCAACACCAAGCUAUUAGGAGUAGCUUUUAGCUACCAAUCUAGCUUUAAGUUUAUUGAUAGAACCAUCAGCAUUCAACUUUAUUCUGAAAAUCCAUUUAACACCAAUGAUAUUUUUGUUGCUUGGUCUAUCAACCAACGUCCAUGUUUGAUUUUUCUCAAUCAUAUGAAUCUCCUCCUUCAUGGCAUUUCUCCACUCUGAAAAUUUGAUAGCUUCUUCAAAGUUUACAGGUUCAAGAAUGGUAACAUUUGAUCUUUGAUAAAUAUCUAUGAGUGGUCUGAUUCCUCUCACUGGUUCAUGAUCAAUGAUUUCAUUUUUAAACAUAUAAUCUUCUUGAUCUUGGAAGCUUAUCAUGUCUGCAGCAGUUUGCUUGACUGAUUUUCCCUUUGACUUUUUUCAAUUUUAGGCUGCUUGCUCAUUAAAUCUCACAUUUCUACUUACAAUCAUUUUACUUGUAAGUGGAUUGUAAGUCCUAUAGCUUUUGGUGAUGUUGCUAUAGCCCAGAAAAAUACAUAUUUCUACUUUUUUAUCAAGCUUGUCCCUUUUGAUAUCAGGAACAAACACAUAACAGAUGCUGCCAAAAACUCUGAGGUGGUGCACUGAUGGUUUGCUUUCAUACCAGGCUUCGAAAGGAGUGUUUCCCUUCAAAGCUUUUAUGGGCAGCCUGUUGAACAAGUAGACAGAGGUAUUGACUGCCUCUGCCUAAAAUUUCUUUGAAAGAUUCUUCUCAAACAGCAUGCAUCUUGCCAUCUCCACGAUUGUUCUAUUUUUCCUUUCACUGACUCCAUUUUGUUGUGGAGUGUAAGUUACUGUCAGUUGGUGUUCAAUUCCUGCAACUUCACAAAACUCAUUAAAUCUAUCAUAUGUGUAUUCAGUACCAUUGUCUGACCUUAUGAUCUUGAUUUUACAGCCACUUUGAUUCUCAAUCCAAGCCUUGAACUUCCAAAAUACAUUUGCAACUUUAGAUUUUUGUUUCAUGAAGUAAAUCCAACAUAUUAUGAUAAAAUCAUCUAUAAAAGCAAUGAAAUAUCUACUGCCAUUCAAGGACAAGGUUCUCAUAGGACCACAAACAUUAGUAUGAACAAGUUGUAGUUUUUCAGUUGCCCUCCAUGCUUUGUUAAUUGCAAAUGGCAACUUACUUUGUUUUCUAAACUGACAGACUUCACACACUCCAGCACUGACUUCAACAGUAGACAUGUUUAAUAUAAGAUUAUUUUUAUGCAUGAAAUUCAAUGCACUGUAGUUGAAAUGUCCCAUCUUUUUAUGCCAUAAAGAAGAUUCAUCAUGUGAAGUAGCAUAUGCAGAAAAGUUUGCUUCAUGCCAAUUCAAGGAAAAACAUUUUCCUUUCAUAUAAACAGUAAAGAGUUCAUGGCCAAUGGGAUCAUGAAUUAUGCAUGCCUUGUCUUUGAAAACUAAAUAGUAGUUAUUUUCUAGCAACUGUCGUACACUUAACAGGUUUUGAUAUAUUUUAGGCAUAAAUAACACAUUUGAAAUGAGUUUGGUACCUGUUGGUGUCUCAACUGUCACUACUCAUUUUCCUUUGACUUCUAUGAAAUCAUCAUUACCUAUUCUGACUUUAGAGGUGCAGGUCUUGUCUAGUUCUUUGAACAUGUUGAUAUCAGAUGCCAUAUGGUGUGUGCUUUUCAUUGUUUCUAGAACCUUUGUUUCUUUGAUCUCUUUAUUUUCUGUCUUUGCUUUCUGUUUGCAUCUUGCCUUUCUCUUUGGUUGUAAAAGCACCUUCUGUUGAAUCCUUUUGUCUGAUAGCCCUUCUUUGCUCUUGAGCUUGUAAAGCAUUGAACAAUUAUGCUGGAGUUAUCUUGGUCAGGUCAUUGGAGUCUUCAAAGGAUGAGAUUUUUGACUCAAACCUCUCUGGUAAGCUGACAAGAACCUUCUUUACAAUUCUUUUGUCUGACAGCUCCUCACCAAGUAAUCUAAUCUUGUUUACUAUCUUCAUGAGUCUAUCAUUGUACUACUUUAAAUUAUUAGACUCAUUCAUCUUUAAGACUUCAAACUCUCUUUUAAGAUUCAAUACUUGCAUUUGUCUUGUCUUGUCAUUGCCUUGAAACUCUUCCUUGAGCACAUCCCAAGCUUGUUUUACAGUUUCACAAGUCAUGAUUCUAAUGAAUAUGUCAUCAGAAACUGAAGACUCAAUACAGCUUUUAGCCUUGUACCUCUUUGUUUUUUCUUCACUAUAAUUUUUCAUUUGAGUUACUGUUAGAUUUGCAGGAAGUUGUGGUGGUUCCUUCUCAUUUUCCACCACUUCCCACAAAUCAAAAGCACUCAAAUAAGUCUUCAUUUUGACAGCCCAUAUCUGGUAGUUCUCACCAGAAAAAAUAGGAGGUGGAGGUAUGGAGCAAUUGCUUGAGGCCAUUUAAGGUUGACAAAAGCUGGCUGGUAAGUGUUUGAUGGCUUUUCACUCAAUUUUUUGGAACUCACAGGUCCUCUAAGACUUUAAAGAAUGCUCUGAUACCAAUUGAAGGAUUUAGAGCAGAGGAAGAACAGAAAAUAGCAGAAACUAAUCUGUCACUUGAAGUAAAUUGGCUCUACAGAUCAUGAGCUUCAUUUCAUUGAUUUAUAGGCUUCAAAAAUACAAAAGUUUGUUUAACUACUACAAAAGUUGUUUGCCUAACAGCAUGGAUCACCAUGCACAGAUCCAUCAUAUUACCUAAAUUGAUCAGAUGACAGAACCUGUUACAAAGUGCCAGUAGAAAUGCCAUACCUAGUUACUUCAACCACUAACACAUUAACACAUUUCCAUUGGGGAGUUUAGAAAGGGGAUGAUGAGCUAGUAAAAUAAGAGAGAAAUGCUUUUAAUAGCGUGGUCAUAGUAAAGUAGCCAAGGCCAACUCUCUCUCCUGCGCUAGUUAAUCAUAUGCCAUCCGAAUCGCCACCAAUCAUGAUGGUGCGGGAUUGGUCACCCUCUUGCUUACUUACUGUGACUUCCACUGCAGCUACGAAAACUGGUGGGAAAGCAACUAAAAUGGAACUGCCCUGGCUGGAACAGAUGUAACAGAAGUCCCGGAUUGCCUUACGGGAUUAGCAAUGGAAAGGCUAUAUAAAGAUGGAUUCAAAAUGGGCUUAUCUUAGGUAGACACUCACAUUCUCUUUAUCGAAUCGUAGAUACUCCUGCUUGCUCUGGGUCUUGGCUGCUUAGAAACAUCCCUUUAGUUCGUCUUAGAGAAUGGAAUUUGGAAUUCGAUUUUCGUCUUAUUGUAGGUCUCUGGAAUUCCAUCUCUUCUUUUGUUCAAAUCUAUAUCUAUAGACGACGAAAGGCACACGUCCUUUACUUAGUUAAGCUGCUCUUUCUGCCGUGGAAGUCAGCUUUUUCUUCCCUCUCUUAAAGAAAGAAGGAAUUCGACAGAGUUCUUUGAGAAAUAGACAUCUCAAUCUCUGAGAUUGAUAGAUAAUUUCCUUUUCAUACGUAACUUCGGGCUUUAAGCAUGCAUAAAAUAAAGAUUGAGGUCGGAUGGCGAAAUCGAAUGUGUAGGUAUCGUCUCUUUUUCCUUGGCUGGUGAACUGACCGUACCCCAAACCGACACAGGUGAACAAGUAGAGUAUACCACCGAAAAAUCUUUCAAUUCCGCCCCAGCAAGGAAGGAAGUGAUCCUGCAUCCUUCUAGGGCCGAUAUUUGUUACCCUUGCGAGUCUUCUCGUCGUUUGACCCUGCCCGAGCUAGAUGACAAAGCUGACACUAAGUAAUAAGUAAGCUAACGAGAUGUCAUUUUCCUGCCUCGUCUAACUCGCUUUCAAAGGAUUUGGUAUCAGCUUAAGCACAUCUCUCGGCCCUAAUAGGUAGUUUUCCAUUGGAACUGAUCUAGCCCUUGUUUGUGGCGCUUUUAGUCUGCUCUUCGAGCUCUCUUCUAUACUUACUAGGGUAAAAAAGUGAAAAAGGAUAGCAAAAUUCCUGUGGUUGAUAGUGGAGUAUGUAUAGAACUUCUGCAUUUAGGAGUGAUCUUUUGUAAGAAAGCCCUACUUAAGUCUGAGGAUAAGCAAUUGGCAGAUGAGGCAUGUAUAGUCUUAGGCGCAUAAAGCUUGAGAAUCUCAGCUCUUUGACAAAGCAAAGCUACUCUUCCUAUAGAUCUUCUUGAGCGCAUCGCAUAGCUUGAGCUUCAAACUAGCUAUGGGUCUUCCAAUCAAUCUUUGUGAGAAGCCUCUGUUCCUAUAGUUGGUUUAGGGUAGGGACAAGAGAAAGAAGGAGGAAUGGUACCAAUGGCACUUAUUUGGAUUCCUAUUGCUUUGUCUGCAAGCGGGAUUAGUGAGACCCGGACGGUAAAGGCUUGACCAUGACAGUAAGCGUAGCAGAUCCCAUUGCCAAGGACUGAUCCUCGUGUUAUCUUAUAUCUUUCCUAUCUAUUAGACCUAUGGUACAAUCAAAAGGAAAGAUGGAGAAGACAAAAGGAUCUUGAAAGAGAGUUAGAACUACAUAAUCCCUCUCCAUAGUAUGAGCGGGACCUUUGUCUGCAAAAUGUCUUUGUGCCAAAGAUCUUGGAAGCUUACCCAUUUCGACCACAUCUCUUUCCAACCCUAUCGAGAAGACAGACCAAAAUCGACACACAUUACAAUAACAUUCUACUCUCUUUCUUUAUUAAGAUGUUUGAAAAGAUGUUCAAGGAGUGUAUGACUUCCGAAACUAAAUGGUCGUUCAUCCUUUUUUCUUUUUCCGAAUUGUUUUCUCUUUUCUUUGAAAGGGAAAGCCUUUUCUUUUCUUAUCUUAUAUAUUAACUUCCUUUCCGGCUGACAUCGAUGGCCCGAGGUAGAGCACUCAAGCAGCAAUUCUUUAUUUUAUAGUCGAGGGGAAGCCCUCUCGUAUUCUUCCAUAGCGCACGCAAUUGGCAGCACAAUGACCAAAAUCCCACUACUUGACUACUACUAAGAAAAGGGGACCACGACCAAAACGCUCCGCUCGUUCCCCGACGGGAAGAAUAAAAGACGUAUUUUUGGUUGGAUAUGUGGAUUUGUCCGAAUGAUCUAGCCAUGAGAAGUUAGAAAGGAAAGGAUACUCGGACUGAGAUCCUCCGCGUAGUCAGAUCUAUCUGCACGAAGGCGACUGACUUUUUUUCUUUUUUUCGAAAAAUAAAAAAUCUUAGAUUUAAAGGCCUCUAUUAUUUUUUAAGACUGGGCACCCCCACUCUACUUCUAUCUAUCAUAAGCCAGAAGAAAAGCGCUUCUUCCUAGGCGCUUUCCGGAAAAAAGUCCAUAGGCGAACUCUCAGGUUUGGAUUCGAGUAAGGAAUGCCUAGCUUGAUGCUUUAUAGAAUGUGCGGAUCGAAAAUUUGGCAUUCUUCGGAAGAUAGUGACGAUGGACUGACUUGACUCAAGAAAGCUCCUUAUUUUCUUAGUUCCCCUCGGAAUUGUUUUUACGGAUUGCCUUUACUUUAAGGCUCUAAGGAAUAUCUGGAAUAGAUCCCUUAUCUUAGUAAGCCUCUCGCUUUGCUCGUUCCUGCUGUUAGAUCCUGUCUAAUAAGCCUACUACUAGCUAAUAAGACACGGGAGGAACUUUCUCUGAUCUAACCCGCAUGUCUUUUCGGUCCUUAGGGGAAAAAUAUGCAAUCCCACACCUUUUUAACGUAUUGGGCUAAGAGAAGGGGAGGACUUAGUCUUUCUCCCAUCGAUAAUAUGGGAGGAUUGGUCCUAGAGUACAGAGUGCGUCUCCUCGAGUCUGCGUAUGGGAUAAUCUCGGUAGACUAGCAAAGGCGCUUACAUAGACUCCUGUAUCUGAUCCCCCUCUUCCAGAGAUGGAAAAGCUGAUCAAACUCCAUGAAGAAUUGAUGUUCGUUUUCCAGUACAAUCUUCAUUGGAUGGUGGGAUCUGUCUUGAGGAAUCUACAAGCGGCUAGUGAAUUGGCUAAUGAGAAAGCUAAAAUGAAUGAAUGGAGGGCCAGCUCUAUUGGAAUCAAAAAUGCUGUAUGGAGCCCCUCUGACUGGUUCUAUUUGCGGUUGAGUUGGAGAGCCUAAUGCUUCUCUUAUUCCUAUCUUUCUCACGUCUUCUAUGAGAAUCUUUGCGUUCAAUCACAGAUCCUGGCACUCCGACUAAUCCUAUUCUAUUACCCCCGGGUCCUAGGUAUUCUCACCAAAAGAAUUUACCAGCUAGACUAGUGGAGCUGCACUCAUAAUGCCUGAACCCCCUUGAGGUGAAAAGGCCCCGCCCAUCAACUUCUGUAAUGGAAGCUUCGGCCACUUCCUGUUUAAUAGCCUACGGCUAGCUUGUCCCUUUAGAAGAAGUGUUUUGACACAGACAGGCAGACUUGCAAGACUCGCUUUCACUUCCUUUGUUGCGUUCUAUCGGGUUCUCCCUUUUUCUCACGUUGGGGAUGGGGACAAAAGUCAUGGAUCUUUUUUUUCCUCGUGCAGGACUAGUUUGCACAUAUCUCUGACAUCUGCACCUCGUUCUGCAUAGAGAGAAAGCUGGUACAAUAAGAGUUCUUGUACUCGGCUUUGUUCCCAUGCUAUAUGUUCAUUGAAAACAAAACUCAACCCAGAGAUGAAAUCGUCAACUUAAGGUAAUCCUUAUCAACUAGGCUAAGACUUUUUCAUUAUCACCCUAGAUCUCUCAGUGUAGGGUUUUGACAACAAGGUACGUUGUGGAGUGUGAGAUUGAGAUCGAUGGUUGUGUACCUGGGGAUGAUUCAAAUAGCGAAAUUCAUAGGAACUGGGACAAGCCAAGAUAGAUAGAGCUGGAAACGGAAACUCCAGAGAAAGGACCCAAUUCUUUCGUUAUUGGAGUGUCAAUGUCAACAAAGCGACCUACUAACAAGGGGUCCGUAUCGUGAGGAAGGGGCUAAGCCCGCGUAAACACCUAUAGAGCGCCCUCUAACGGGAAAAUGUCCUUCCAGGAGUUGAAGUGAAGAAAUGAAGAAGGCGCCCAUGCGUCAGUCAGUCGUUGUUCCAUAUCCAGAUUGAGAGCUAGAUGUUCCAGAUCGAGACCUCUGGGCAAAGAGGUAGGAUUGAUUUCUCUUCUGGUGACCCUAUUCCCUUCCCGGUAAGGUAGAAUUGUGAUUUCUUUUUCCUGUCGAUGGCUAUCCCGUUGACGAAUAGAUAGAUCAAACAACGUUCUUCCGACAUCACUCACUUUAAGAAAGAUGCGGCUAUCGGCCUGAUGGGAUAGCGUUUGACGAUGUGGAACAAGCAGAAUUGCUUGCCAGAGUUUCACCCCCUGUGGUUUGCAAAACCUAAACAAUGCUUUAGCUUCUGAUGACCCUGAGAGUACCUUAUUAGCUGCCUCCCUAUCUGAUACUCCAUAUUGCUUAUUAUACUCAAAAAUAAGAUCCUGAGUUACAUCUUUGAAAAACUCAUUCCCAUGAGUGCUUGUAUGCUCUAAUGCCUUCUUGUACGAAGCGUCAUUGUCCUUAUGAGCACUAAUUGCAGAUUCUAAGCAAGGGUCAGGCAAACCCUCUUCUCAGGUACAGUUCUCUAACCAGCCCCCCUUGAAAUUCAGGUUUUUAUUUAGGUGAUUAGGCGAACCGGCCUCUAGAUACAUUUGAUGAACUGAUUCCCCUAGCCGAUUCCGACGGAUCUCUUUCUGUUUCCGUAGCAGAAGUCGAAGUCGAACCUACCUCAUCUGGGGUUGGAGGGGAUAGAAAGCAUUCAUUACAUCUGCUUCGGGAUAACUUCCUUUAUCAAAAAAAGGCUUCCUCUUCUCCGGGCUGUCUGAACGCACUGCGGGGACAAGGAAAAAGAGAGAGCUGGUUGACGGCAUGGGACUGCUGGAUUGGGACUAGAAGAAAGGAUGGGCACACCUUAGGACGAUAGCAGUAGAUGUAACAGAACUUGCAGGGGCUUAUCUUAUGACUGCAGAAGGAGAGGUUUAUCGCUUAGAGGGGGGGGGAAGACCUCUCUGGGAAAUCCUUAGCCAGCCUUUUAUUAGAUCAUUAGCCACUUAGAGCCUUAGGAAGGGACAGGAGAAGCAAAGAGCAAAGGAAACUACUACUGCAAUUGGAUCAAUGAGAUCGCCAUCGAACAUCGAAAGAAAGGUACUAUAGCUAGCAACUUAAACUGAAACUGUGCGUGGACCGAACUCUCAGACGGGUAGGGCAUGAAGGACUGAUGCCUAGCCCUAUUAAGACCUAUUUCAAGGUAUCGGACUCUUUUUUAUCUGAUUGAAGAAGAUAGUUCAUCCGGACUUCUCUCUUCGGCUUCGGGGGAAUGACUUAAAUCCUUGUAAGCCCUAAUGGGGAAGGCAGAGAGAAAUUGAGUUCCAUCUCCAUCUAUCAAGAUCUAUCAAGUCAAAGCAUGGGCUUUCUUUCUCUCAUCUGAUUCCUCAUAGCCAGCUCUAGCCGGAGAGAGAGGAGAGGGCGAAUCCAUUUCUUCCUUUUUUUUACUUAGCUUUGUAAAUUCGAGUAUGAAAUAAGGACUCGGCGACUCGGUCUGGAAUAGUUGCCGCAGCUGUGAUGGUAGGCGCCCGUCUGCCUAAAGACGUCGAUGAGACCUAUAAGGCUCUCUUUCCAACCCUCCCCACUUUUUGGAGAGACCAUGAGCUCUGUCUCCGUGGUGAGUUUUCUCUUCGUAUUAUCGCUUCAUCUUUCUCUUUCCUGUCUAAUUCCCGCUUCUCUUGCAGAUUCAAAACCGCAUUAUCGCCUUGGCUAACCGGGGGGAUGAUGCGAUCUCCCAGAGGACAAAACUGCAAACCGAGCUCGAGCAAGAGAAAAAAAAAGAAAGGCACAAAAAAGCCCCCACGAUAAAGUAAGGCACUCCAAUAAACUAUAUCCCAUCUUGGUCUUCCGUUAAACGAAACGGAGGAGAAAGAAAAAGUUCUAGGUCCUAGAACGUAAACUAGGCAGAGUUAUGCUGAUUACCUUGGAAAACUAAUGGAUAGGCUUUUUUGUGUCGCUACCGCCCAUAAGCCGGUGGUAAGAAAUCCGAAACUUAUGAUAGGGUGCAAGAAAAUGGGGAACAAAGACAUACCGAAAAAAAAAAAAAUACAACGCUCAAUUUGCAUAACAAAACUAGAUCCUUUGGAGGCAUUUAUACGACACACAAUGUUCUCAAACCAAUAGAGAAGGUAAAAGAGCUAUUCCCGAAUAGGACACUAUAACAUAAUUUUAAUAGCAAGGUUCCCCCUUGCAGGCUACCCUUGGCCAUAGGAACGCAACCCCUUUCUUUGAUUAAAGCGCCACGUCUGCCUGCGGGACUGGAAGCUGCCUUACGUGAGUAUUCCCGCAUUAAAGUCUUUGGGUUCAAGCAUAGGGUGGAAGUUCAAGCGCGACCUACUCAUCAUUACAUUGGCUUGCCUAUUCAGCGGGUUUACUGGAUGGUGGGCCUUCAUACCAGAACCUCUACUAACAAGACCUGAUUUGGUGUCACGGUCCGUGCGUUCAUCGUUUUAAAAUUACGCGUUUGUGCGACAUCAAGAUUACUCUUAGUCAAAGUCAACCUUCUCCUAGUUUAUAUUUCUUUGGACAGAUCAAUUUCGAUCCUUCAAGUCGUAUACUCACAAGUUUUUUUUGAUUUCGAUCCCGUAGGGUCCCUCAUUCCGAAUUUUCUAUAGAGAGGAACCCAACUUUCAUUGCGCACCAGCCUACGAUUCUUAAAGUAGCCUCGAGCACCAAGUUCUGCCCACAGGGCUUUGGAUCUCGAGCACCGAUUUUCGAAUGCCCGUAGAGACACCAAUCUCGGUUCUCAUGAUAUUAUUAUUUCUUGACAUUGUGAGAACCCAACACUAUGCCCGCCCGUAACGUACGCAAGCUCCCGUAUCAAGUUUACGCAAGCACCACAUUUAAGCUAGUCAACAGCCAGCUCGGAGCCUCUAGGCUUAUCACGUCCCACAGGACUUGGUUUUUAGGGCUUAGGCCCUUAGCAUCAAUAUCGGUCGCCCGCACGCAUGAUUGACACCAACCAACAUGCUAGUCCUGCAAGGGGACUUGGGUGGACUGUCCAGCUACAGCACACCUCUACCGACUAGCCACAAGGGUCUAGCAGCGUGCGUGCCUGCUAGUCCGCGCAUCCCUCAGGCUUGAUGGUAUCCCUCUUACGCAAACACAUCACAUGAUCCUUCCGGAUUAAUGAGAAAUCGAGGGGCAUAACGAUCUCUACCGUAUUACCCCAUGGCUCAACACAAAGGUGCGAUACGAGGCCCGCCAGCCCCAACCGCUCCCAGGUUUACCGUGACCAGAGGAAACAUCGUGCCACGCUCGUGACCCUACGAUGCCCGUCCACCUAGCCACCACCAGUGACUAGGAGUAGCUCACUUCAAACUAGCUGGGCCCCCGCCUACCUGCUAGCCAAAGGGGUGGUGGAGAGCUGACACCAGACGUCCCCCUAUAAAGAGCGUAAGAGAUUUUUUCAGUCUCCUAUCAGUGAUCGUAAGAUUGUCCGAAAUGGGGACACUUUUCUCUCCAGCCAUCUCAGGACCUUUCUUCGGCUAACUCAAGGCCCCAUAACCUUCCUUUUGGUCACCACUACUCCUUGAUCCUGCUCGUUGCUCCAGCAACCCACUUGAAGGUGCUCGCACAUGACUUCGACUGCUAGCACCUGACUGGCUAGCUGGUCCCAAGGCACCAGCGCAUUGUCUCGCACUUACCUGUGUAUCUUAGAGUUUAUGGCUCAGACCAUCCACGUAUAAUAUCCCCAACAUAUUCCCAUGCUCAGAAUACCCGCACACUACUUUCACUGAUGGCACUCAUCGGGCUGCUUGGCUUGAGGGUGCUUUGACACUGUCUCGAGCUUACCCGCGUAUCUUGCGGUCUAGGGCUCCCACUGCCUGCACAACAUGUUAGUAACAUGUUUCAAAGCUCCAAACGCACACCCGUAUCUCUUAGAACCAUUUUCCCGCCAACUUGGUCUCGACUAUUGCUCGGUUCAGGAUCAGUCAUGGCAGGACCAAGGCCUGGCCAUGACACACUCCCCCACUUACUAUGUCAAUGCCCUCAUCAACUCUAAGACACACCUAACUCUCUUACUGCACACAGCUGACAUUUGCUCAUAUGUCUCUCACUUGUGCCCUCAAGGAUUGGAUCGAGGCCUCGUCACAUGGGGCACUGCCCACAGUACUUGUCCAUUGUUGAUGUAGAUUGGUCACGUUACCGCACUCAUACCGUUCUGCUCUGUUCCCACUCAAAGGGUCUAACCUUAUCUUGGUUGUUCCAUAUGGGCCAUACCAUUGCUUCAUCCCUGAUCAUAUCAUGUUGCGACCUCGAGGCACCCUCAUUGAUCAAUGACCCUCAGUAGAAUAAAUGACCACCUGUUUUGCCACUCAUUGGUGCGUCCCACUGGACGUGACCUCUCACAUCGACUUCACGCUUGCAGCAUCGACUCUUCGAUGAGCCCCUCUAGAUAUGGCGCUUAGGUCAACCGCACUCAUACGGCACUCUACAUGAUAGACCUUAGCACAAUGGCAUUCAAGCACUUUGGUCACCUCCCAACUUGGGUCCUCUCGGCCCCUCCAAGGUCACCCCUCUAGGUGUGGCCCUCUGGCCAGCCGCCCCCGAGACGACACCUUAACGCACUCUGAUUCGGUCUUUGCUCCUAGCUUGAACACUAAGCUCCAUCAGCUCAGGCUCCUCUGUCUUGACUUCGUCCCACAGGGAAAUCACGUCUCCCCCACUUUUACUCGAAACUUGGUUCAACAUUAUACGCAACCAAGUAUCCUUGAUGGGUCUACUGGUCAUCUGCCUUGACUCUAGCAUGGUUCCUAUGACAUCUCAAAGUCCGCUCAUACUCGGAGAUCCACUGAUCCCACUAAACGCCUAGUCCACUGAUUUGUUAGACUCGGGGAUUCACUAACCCACUCGAUUCUUAAGAUCCACCGACCCACACCAUCUAAAGGCCUUGUCAACUGGCCAUUUCCCAAUUGUCUGUUUUACUAGAUUACACUCUGUUGUGGCCCACUGACCACCACAGUUCAUGGUUCACCGAUCGACCCACUUGUGGCUUCAAUCUUUAGCCACUCCAUACGUCUCUGUGAAACGCUCCAUGUUUGAACCCGAAUACUUCAGCUUGCACCCCCGCUGGGGCACCUGCACCAUGCAGCAAGUGCACACGUUAGUAAUUAAUCUUGAAACUCGAUACCUCUUGCCCCUCAGAACAAGAUUCACUCGGCCCACAUGGCCUUACGCAAACAUCAUUUCAUGGUGUAAGCCCCUUUUCGUAUCUUGGUCUCACUACGGUUCCUUCCACCGUAAAGGCAUCACAUGCCCCAACAUAUGCCAACACCUUUUCUUAGGUGAGGCUAGACUCUAGUGCCCUUUUGCUUGGCAUCCAAGAGCCUACUCGAGAGCCUUUUUACAUAGGCCCUAUUUUUUCCGCAACACGCAUCGUUGGCUCCUUUCGAGCCCCUAUAGCCACAGAACCGCAUUUGCUUCUUGAUAGCUCCUCUUGAGCUUGGCACCACCUCAAUUUCACGUCACUAGGCCCACACAUGGGGUCAUGUAAAUCUUGCCACUAAGCCAAACCAAGGCUCUAAUACCAAAUCUGUCACGGUCCGUGUGUUCCUCAUUCUAAAACUACACGUUCGUGUGGUACCAAGACUACUCUUAGUCAAGGUCAGCCUUCCCCUAGUCCAUAUUUCCUUGGACAGAUCAAUUUCGAUCCUUCAAGUCACAUACCCACGAGCUUUUUUUGGCUUUGACCCCGUAGGGUCACUUAUUCUGAACUCUCUAUACAGAGAAACCCAACUCUCAUUGUGCACCAGCCCAUGAUUCUUAAAGUAGCCCCGAGCACCCAGUUUUGCCCGCAGGGUUUUGGAUCUCAAGCAUCGAUUCUCGAAUGCCCGUAGGGACACCCAGUCCCAGUUCUCAUGAUAUUAUUACUUAUUGACAUGGUGAGAACCUAACACCAUGCCCCCCGUAACGUACGCAAGCUCCCAUAUCAAGUUUACGCAAGCACCACAUUUAAGCUGGUCAGCAGUCAGUUCGGAGCUUUUAGGCUCAUCUCGUCCCACGAGACUUGGUUUUAGGGCUUAGGCCCUUAACAUCAGUAUCGGCCGCCCGCACGCAUGAUUGACACCAACCAUUAUGCUAGUUUCGCAAGGAGAAUUGGGUGGACUACCCAGCUGUAGCACACCUUUACCGACUGGCCACAAGGGUCUAGCAGCGUGUCUGCCUGUUAGUCCGUGCAUCCCUUAGGCUCCAUGGUAUCCCUCCUAUGCAAACAUCAUCACAUGAUCCUUCCGGCUCAAGGAAAAGAAAUCGAGGGGCCUAAUGAUCUCUACCGUGUAACCCCAUGGCUCAAUGCAAAGGCGCGAUACGAGGCCCGUCGACCCCAACCACCCUCGGGUUUACCGUGACCCGAGGAAACAUCAUGCUAUGCUCGUGACCCUACGAUGCCCGCCCACCUAACCACCAUCAGUGACUAGAAGUAGCUCACUUCAGACUAGCCGGGCCCCCGCCUGCCCCUUAGCCAAGGGGUUGGUGAAGAGCUGACACCAAACGUCCCCCUAUAAAGAGCGUAAGAGAUUUUUUCAGUCUCCUACCAGUGACCGUAAGAUUGUUCGAAAUAGAGACACUUUUCUCUUCAGCCAUCUCAUGGCCUUUCUCCGGCUAAUUCAGGGCCCCAUAACCUUCCUCUUGAUCACCACUACUCCUUGAUCCUGCUCGUUGCUCCAGUAACCCACUCGAAGGUGCCCGCACAUGGCUUCAACUGUUAGCACCUGACUGGCUAGCUGGUCCCAGGGCACCAGCGCAUUGUCUCGCACUUACCUGCGUAUCUUGAAGUUUAUGGCUCAGACCAUCCACGCAUAAUAUCCCCAACAUAUUUCAUGUUCAGAAUGCACGCACACUGCUUCCACUGAUGGCACCCGCCAAGCUACUUGGCUUGAAAGUGCUUAACCACUGUCUCAAACUUACCCGCGUAUCUUACGGUCUAAGACUCUCAUUGCCUGCAUAAUAUGUUUCAAAGCUCCAAACGCACGCCCGCAUCUCUUAAAAUCACUUUUUCAUCAAUUUAGUCUCAAUCGUUGCUCGGUUCAAAAUCAAUCAUGACAGGAUCAAGGCCUGGCCAUAACACUUGGCCUGCUCCCUUACAAUAGCAAACGUACUGAAGGAUGCUAUCGAUCCUACAUUCCCCUAGCUACCAGUGCUAUAUCUAAUACAUUCUUUUCUAUCUUUGCUUGCUCUCCCCUUCCUACUAGGAUAGAGAUUCAAACAACAAAGAACCUAGCUACUAGUAACUAAUCGCAUCUCCUUGCUUAUCUCUCUUGAGCCCUCUGUCAAGAACUAAAAGCAGAAAGAGCAUAACCAUAUAUAUGAGAAUCGGUUGCCGCUGUUCUCUUUUCAGCUGUUGUAGUCAGGCCAUUAGGAAAAGGCGUACCCCUAAAAGCUAAAAGUGAGAGAAGUGACCCAGUUCAGUCACCUGAGGGAUAAGCUGUUCUUGCUAUAGUCGACUUUCCCUCUUGGGUGAAGCUCUUGUGAAAAAAGUUUUGGUGCUUGCUGCUCUGGUUCCCUUUCGCCCAGUCGAUUUUCUGUUGGGAUUUGUCUUGAAUCUCAGAAUCCCACAUCGAAAGUUAAGUAAGUUUGAAUUUGUCUUGUAUCCCACAUCGGGAGUUUAGUAAAGGUAUAAAGGGUUUCACCUUUAUAAAUAAGAUGUUUUGGUUUUAGUUUAAUAACCUCAGAGAGUUAGACACCAAGAGAAUAGCUAAGUGAGUAGGCUAUUAAAGGGUGUAAUUGGGUUUUGGGUUAAGUUUUGAGUAAGGAGUUUUAGGAGAUUUUUCUCAUUCUAAAAGUCUCACAAUUGUAAAGAUUUAUUUGAUAGUGGAUUAGAUUUGGAGUAGGCCAUUUUGAGUUGGGUUGAACCAAAUAUAUUUGUGUUUUCUUAUUCUUGAUUUGAGCUUGUUAUUUUGUGUGUGGUUGCUACGCGUGGGUAUUGUGGUUUUUCCCAACAAGUGGUAUCAGAGCUGAAAGUUCGAACGUGAGAAGAGUCAAAUGUUCGAGAUGUGGGAAGAGCUGAUGGUUCGAGACAUGGGAAGAGUUGACAGUUCGAGAUAUGGGAAGAGCUUGGUUUGAAAUAUGAGAAGAAGUAAGCUUAGAGGAGCUCGAUUCAAGAGAAGAGUUCGAGUUCAAGUUUUGAGAAUUGGUUUGUAUGAAGCGUGAAGACACAAGAGAAGAGAAGAUGAUUGUAAGACUUCCAUUGCAGGUAGAGCCAAUGAUGUCUAACAUGAAGACAGAUGAUUGAUGGAAUUUGAGUCAAGGUGGAGAUUGUUGGGAAUAUUGACUCAAAUCCCAUAAGAGAUUUGUUAGAGAUUUGUUUGGGAUUUAUCAGAUAUUGCUUGAUGGACAAGAAUACUUGCAAAAGAAGAAUUCCAAGAGAAAGAGGAUUCUUAAUAGGUAAGUUUGACUUGCAAGAGAAGAAUUCUAAGAGGAGAGGGAUUCUUAAUGGGUAAGUUUGUAUGGUUAUAAAUAGGUGAAGUCUCUACAGGGUUAGGUAUGAGAAAAAGAUGUAAGAGAGUUGUAGGGUUUUGUGGGAUAGACACCCCAUAAGAGUAUUGGGGCUCUACGUCUUAUGGGUGUGUAUGUUUGUUUGUGAGUGGACUAGAGGAGACUGAGAGGGUCCACAUAGGUAUGAUGUGUGGGAGCAUAUGGGUAUGUGUUUGGUUAUGUUGAAAGGGUGCACAAGAGUUUGGGUUUGUGUUUGUUUGGGUAGAGAAUACUUCAUAGGACUAGAGGAGAUUGAGAGUGUCUUAUGAGUAUUGAUUGUUAGUGGGGUUGAUGAUAUGAUGUAUGUUUGUAAUUCUCUACAACUAGUGGAUCUUGUUUCUCAUCCGUGGAUGUAGGUCAGUUGGACCGAACCACGUUAAAUUAUUAUCUCUUGUGUGUUUGAUUUAUUAUUUGAUUUCGCUUUCGCUGGUGUGAUUGGAUUGGAGGCUUUUAGCCCAACAAAUAGUAUCAGACAUGUGGUGUUCCCCAACAAGUGGUAUCAGAGCGAGGUUCGUGGGUCCAAGAGAUCGUGAAGCAGUGUUUAAAGAUGUCUGAAGAAGGUAUGUCUGGUAUGUCUAUGCCUAAGUUUGAGAUUUCGUUAUUUGAUGGAAAGAGUAAUUUUAUGUUAUGGCAAAGUACGAUUCAAGAUCUGUUAGUACAACAAGGGUUGGAUCAGGCAUUAGAAAGUAGUAAGCCUGAAGGAAUGUCUGAUGUUAAUUGGAAUAGGAUUCAGAAGAAGGCUGUUAGUACUAUUAGAUUGGCGUUAGCUCCAGAAGUAAAGUACAAUGUGUUGACUGAGAGUACUCCGAAGAAUUUGUGGGAUAAGCUUAAAGGUAUUUAUGCUUCGAAGUCGUUGACUAAUAGAUUAUGUUUGAAGAUGGAUCUGUAUUCUCUGAAGAUGGAAGAAGGUAUGAGUCUUCAUAAUCACCUGAAUGAGUUUAAUAAAUUGGUUUUUCAAUUGCUAGCGAUUUCUGUUGAUGAGUUAAAAGAUGAAGAGAAGGCUUUAAUUUUGCUGUCAUCUUUGGCCAAGUCUUAUAGGCCUUUAGUUCAGACUGUGUUGGUGGGCAGGUCUACUUUGAAGUUGGAUGAUGUGACUGCCUUGUUGCGUGAGAAUGAAAGGUUUAUGGGAGCUCAGAACUCAUCACCUGGGGGGAGUACACUAGCUGUAGAGGGUUUUGAUCGAGGGAGGACUCAAAAGAGGAUUGAUGGAUCGAAAUGGAGAUCCAAGUUAAGAGACAGAGAUUACAGUGAUGUAGAAUGUUAUUAUUGUGGUGAGAAGGGACAUAUCCAAGUGCGCUGCAGGAAGCUGAGAAGGGAUAUGGCUGCUUUCAAAAGGGCGAAUGAUGAGAAGAAAUCAGAUGAAGAAAAGAGUGAUACUGCUGCUGUCGUGUCUGAUGAUGAUGAUGUUGUUUUGACAACUUGUGUGGAUAAGACUCAGACUUUGAAAAGUGAUAAAGGUUGGGUUUUAGAUUCAGCUGCUACAGUUCAUGUUUGCAAUGAUAGGAGCUGCUUUGUAGAGUUGAAUGAGAAUGAAAAGUAUGGGGAUGUUGUGGUUGCUAACAAAGAAAAGGUGCAGAUUCAAGGCAUUGGGAGUGUUCGCCUUAGAUCUCACAAUGGUGUUAUUAGGACACUUCGUCAUGUAAGGUAUGUACCAAAUUCUCACUACAAUUUGAUUGCUUUGGGUGAGUUAGCUUCUCGGGGGUACACAUUUUAUGGUGGUAAUGAUUGGUUGAAAGUGUAUAAGAAUGAUAGUGUGAUUCUACAAGGGAAUAGGGUCAAUCACUUGUACAUGUUUGAUGGAGGCUCAGUUGCUGGAAUGCUUGUGAUGAAAGAAAAAAAAAAAGGUAAGCAUGUUAGCUUUGCAGAUACUGUUGAAGUGUUUGGAGAUUCAAGUCAAAAGAGGAUUUGUUGGGAUUUAUCUUGAAUCUCAGAAUCCCACAUCGAAAGUUAAGUAAGUUUGAAUUUGUCUUGUAUCCCACAUCGGGAGUUUAGUAAAGGUAUAAAGGGUUUCACCUUUAUAAAUAAGAUGUUUUGGUUUUAGUUUAGUAACCUCAGAGAGUUAGACACCAAGAGAAUAGCUAAGUGAGUAGGCUAUUAAAGGGUGUAAUUGGAUUUUGGGUUAAGUUUUGAGUAAGGAGUUUUAUGAGACUUUUCUCAUUCUAAAAGUCUCACAAUUGUAAAAAUUUAUUUGAUAGUGGAUUAGAUUUGGAGUAGGCCAUUUUGAGUUAGGCUGAACCAAAUAUAUUUGUGUUUUCUUAUUCUUGAUUUGAGCUUGUUAUUUUGUGUGUGAUUGCUGCGCGUGGGUAUUGUGGUUUUUCCCAACAUUUCCUUCAUCAUUCUUUUGGUCAUUCCUUCUUCUGGCCAAAGAGACUUCUGGAGAAAGACAGACAGGGCAUUUCUCUUCGAUGAGCCAGACUAGUUCGAUUUUCACUCCUCUGAAUAUCUUUCCCUCUCGGCUUCGUCAACUAGACUUGAGAACAGGGCCUGAACUCUUUUUUCCUUCUACGAGGCUAUCCCAGUUCCGCUAACACAGGGAAUUGCUCCUCUAAGAGCUUCUUCAAUGGUAUGGCUUAUUCCUAGACCUCAAAGACUUUAACUAUGCCAAGCCCGAUCUUGGUUCCAAUGCUGCAGAGACAGGUGUUGCUGAUCGAACUAAUCUAAAGCUCCGCUCAGCGAUUCUUUCUUAUUCUAUUCUUUCGAAAGCGUAUCCGUAGCUCAGUACUGCUGUAUUUAAUUAUGUAUUUAUCCGGUCUUUUCUUGCUCCUAAAGAUCAGCUACGUAUCAAGGGCGAGGGCCUCAACGCAUCCACUCGUCUUAGAGUGAAAUUCUCCGGUGCUCUCUUUGCAAUUGAAUGCGCUGUGAAAGGGACAGAUGAUCUGAUAUGAAUUUUCAAAUCAAUGCCACUAAUGACCCAGAAGAACUGAACGGAAAGUAGGGGAAGGCGGCUUAGCCUAGCCAGAAAGAAAUUAACUUCACUGACUUAAUGUCCGAGAUUGAAUUAGAAUAGGAAGUUGUUCCAGAAGGAGCUCUGCAGAUGCAUUACCGGCUAACUAUCAAUUGACAAAUCGAAGGCAGAUGCAAUAUCAUAAGAUAAGACAGAUCGGAUCAUAGCCGCUGCAUCUCUUCUCGUAACCGGUGUUCUUGUUAUAGUAAGCGCUGCAAUUGAAUCAACUCUUGGCCUAUCAGCUCUUGUGCACUCAUUGGCUGUUCUCGAAGAAGUGUUGAGGAAGCAUCCAAUUCCCAGUGGUAUCGUAUAAUAAGAGAGAGGGUAGCUAGGAUGCAGGCUAGCCCAGUUGAAACUUGAUUCUACUUGUCUUUGUCUAGAUUGGCUUAGUCUUCAAUUGUACUACGGUACAAGAUCUAAAAACUUUGUCUUUUGACAGAAAGUCUCGACAGUCAAUCGAGUGCCACCCCUCGAACUGACUUAUUCAGGACGUUAGGUGAGCUCGCGAAAUCGUAAAUAUCUCAGCCCAACUCAACUCUUCUACGAAAGGCGAUAGUCGACUGAAUGAACGAGAAAGGGCACUCUCAUUUGCCCAGUGUUCUUCAAGAUAGAAAGAGAGCAGGGCUAUCUAGUAGGUUCUUUGGCGAAUGCACGGCUUAGCACGAUUUUAUGCUUCGAAUGGGGAUGACGGAAAAAGCCUUGCGCGAAGACUUCAAGUAGGAAAAUCCUUCUUAGUCUACUGAAGGGCUCAACAUCGCAUUUGCAUUUCGCGAUCUUUGACGGAAGACUGACUUGCUCAGCAACAAGUGAAAAGGAGUAUCUUUUCCCUAUCUAAGCUAUAUCAACAUAGCCAACUAGAAAACUCAUCCGCUUGUCAAUAGUCUUAGAGCUAGGAAGAAGUAACUAGAUCUCCAUUUAGGUUAUUUCACUCCUAAAUAAAGAGGAACAACUCUCUCUAUGAAUCAUCCCCUGCAGGCUUCUGUCUUGAAUCUUUUUCCCUUCUGAGAUCUGCUAUCUUGUCGGUAAAGCAAGUCAAAUAAGGAUUCGCAGGCGAAACAGAUAUUUCAUUAACGGAGGGGAGGAAGAGAAAUAUGUUAUAAGCCUGUCAAUAGGUUCUCUUCUCAUUCCUUAUUAAGUAUAAGAAAUAAAUUACCUUCCCCUUUGUAGAUUUUGCUGUGGAAUAGAAAGAAUUGCCUAAAAAAACCGAAGCCUUUACUGAAAGUGGAAGAUCGGCGGCAUUGGGAUUCUCACCUUUAGCUUUAGCAACUAAUCCCUUCUCGAACGCUAGCUAUGCACGGAAAGGCUGUUUAAGUUGCUGUUUAAGCUUAACUCCGCUAUUAUACUUUGAUAUUCGUAGAUCUACGAUUUCCGGGUGUUGGACUUAUGCUUAGUUAACACUACCUCUCUUUUUUUCACUAGCUUUAGAGGCUGCGACGAAGAGAUGCAUAUCCUUCAAAUCACACCUAUUGUCGGCGUAACGAGGGAAAAAUGCUUUACGAGGGCUAAUAUUCACAAGCAGCAAAGGCAAAAAGGGCAGAGAAGAUAAAGGCUAUUUGUCACGGACUAAGCUUUCUCUCAAUAAGCAUUAGACCGUACGACACUUGAAUGAACGCUUCCACCCAAGUCAGCCUUUAAUAGAUCGAUAUCUGAACAAAUAACCAUAAACCAUGGUUAGUCCCAAGCAUUCACAAUAAGACACAAUAUAUCGAGGUCAAUCUCAAGCAUACACACACAACAAGGCACAUCCACAUCGAGAAAGAAAGAAAUGCAUCGAGGUAACAAUCAGGUAUUCAAUCGAGGUGAAUUUUAUUAUAAACGAGAAUCAUACAUCGGGAUCUCUCACCAUCACCAGGGCCAGGGGCAGCCCUUGGUGGGUGGCCCAAGCUCGCAUAGCACCCGGUGAAACAGCCCAACACUACGCUGCCGGCUCACCCCCCCUAAAGAGCCUUAGAGAUUUUAAAGCUAUGCUACCAGUAACCGCUACAAUGUUUGAAAUGGGGACAUUUUUCCUAGCACAAGGGAUCUACCCGACCAUGGCCCUAUACAAGGGUGGCUAAUGGCAACCUAAGUCUCGGUCAUGGCCCUAUACAAGGUUGGCUCAUGACAUCCUCCCCCACCUAUUCUAUCGACGUCCUCGUCGACUUGCUGGCUUGAAAUUCUUCAAUCUUCCUUUGAAAUCUUUGGAGGUCGUGUUCUCUCUCCCAGCUGGUUUCUUCUAGUCCUAAGCCCUCCCACUUCACUAAGUAUUCUCGGACUAGUCUUCGAGAUAUCUUGGUUUCCCUAUCGGCUAAGAUCUCCUCGACUCGACGCUCUGAGGGUGGCUUCAUGGUGAUGGCGGCUCUGGUUGGCUCCCUUCGGCUAACAUCUAUAGGAUCUGUAUGGAAAGGCUUCAGGUUGCUUACAUCAAAUACUGAGUGCACUUUCAUCCACUUCGGUGGGUCGAUUUUGUAAGAAGCGUUUCCCACCUUGGAAAGGACUCUUAUUUGACCUUCAUAUUUGCGCACCAAUCUACGAUCUCUCUUUCUUAAGAACCUGAUUUGUUCAGGAACUAGUCGGACCAGAACCAAAUCACCAACUUGGAAUUGUUGAGCUCUACGAUUCUUGUCUGCCCACUUCUUCAUCCGCUUUGAUGCCUUUUCCAAGUAGGCUUGUGCAAUCUCUGUGUUUUGCUUCCACUCCUUACUAAGGUUGAAAGCUCUCGGAUUCUUUCCUCCAUAUUGUUCUAAAGAAGUGUGGGGUAGCAUUGGUAAUUGUCCGGUGACCACCUCAAAUGGGCUCUUGUUAGUGGAAGAGCUUUUAUUGGAAUUAAAGCAGAGUUGAGCAACGUCCAACAAUGAAGGCCAGUCCUUCUGGUUGGCUUAGACAAAGUGCCUCAAAUAUUUCUCCAACAAUCCAUUGAAACGUUCCAUUUGGCCAUCGGUCUGAGGAUGGUAGCUCGAAGAGAUGUUGAGUUGGGACCCUAAAGUCUUGAAAAGUUCUCUCCAGAAGGACCCCGUGAAUCUCGAAUCUCUAUCGCUGACAAUGUUUUGAGGGAGGCCCCAAUAUUUGACCACAUGUUUGAACAAUAGUCGAGCUGUGUCUUUCGCUGUACAAUACUUGUGAGCGGGAAUGAAUGUGGCAUACUUGGAGAACCGAUCAAUUACCACCAAGAUGGUUCCAAGAUCACCAACCUUGGGUAGGCUCGAAAUGAAAUCGAGGGAGAUGCUUUCCCACGAUUUGGUGGGUACCGAUAAUGGUUCAAGCAUGCCCGCAGGUUUCCUUUUUUCGACUUUAUCUUGUUGGCAAAUGAGACAAGUCUUCGAAUAGUCCAUCACAUCUUGUCGCAUGUGAGGCCAAUAGUAUCCCUGUUUUAAUAAUGUUAAAAUGCGUUGCCAGCCUGGAUGUCCCGCCCAUGGGGUGUCAUGGCAUUCCCUCAUCAACAUCUGUCUCAGCCCUCCUACUCUCGGCACAAACACUCGAGGCCUCUUGGUUCACAAGACCCCAUUUUCUUGCCAGAAGUAUUUGGACUUCCCUUCUUCCACUAGCUUCAAAAUGGCACAAGCUUGCGGGUUCUUCCCUAGAUGAUCUCCAAUCAACUUAUGAAUGUUCGUAGUGGCUCUGCUAGUUGCCAUUGGGGCCAUUCUUCUGAGGACCACUAACUCUGGUCGCCUGCUCAAUGCAUCCGCCACUUGACUGGUCUUUCCAGUAAUAUGCUCAAAAUGAAAGUCGAACUCCGCUAAAAAUUCCUGCCACCUAGCUUGUUUCGUCGUAAGCCUUGGUUGGGUGAGAAAAUUGCUAACGGCUACAUUGUCCGUCUUCACGACAAAGUGUGAACCCAACAAGUAAUGUCGCCAAGCCCUCAAGCAAUGAACCACCGCCAGGAGCUCUUUUUCCUAGGUCGUAUAUUUCCUCUCCGCUUCGCUCAACUUCCUACUUUCAAAUGCUAUCGGGUGAUGUUGUUGUAAAAGCACACCUCCAAUAGCAAAAUCAGAUGCAUCCGUCUGAACUUCGAAAGGCUUUUCAAUAUCGGAAAGAGCUAAGAUGGGAUCUUUCAUAAUAGCAUCUUUCAAUCUCUCAAAGGCUUCUUGGCACUCGUUGGUCCAACACCAUUUAUGCUCCUUCUUCAAUAGCUCCGUGAGGGCUUUGGUCUUGCGAGAGUACCCUUCCAUAAACCUUCUAUAAUAGUUGGUUAGUCCCAAAAAUGAGCGGAGCUCACUAACAUUCUUUGGUGUUGUCCACUCCUUGAUGGCCCUAACCUUUUUCAUGUCCAUUCGAAUGUGGUCAUGUUCGACAAUGUGACCGAGGAAAUGGAUUUAGGUCUAAGCAAAUGCGCAUUUCUCCCUUUUUACAUAUAACCGGUGGUCUUACAGCCUUUUAAACACCCGACGUAGGUGUUCUUAAUGUUCCUCCAAGGUGGAGCUGUACACCACUAUAUCGUCUAAAUAAAUGACUACAAAUUUGUCAAGGUAGUCAUGGAACACCUGAUUCAUCAAUGUACAAAAUGUGGCAGGAGCAUUGGUCAGUCCAAAGGGCAUAACAAGAAAUUCAAAUGCACCAUACCGUGUUACACAGAUGGUUUUUGACUCAUCUCCCUCAACGAUUCUGACCUGAUGGUAUCCAGAUCUCAGGUCCAGUUUGGAGAAGUACUUGGCCCGACUCAAUUGAUCAAACAAGUCCGCUAUAAGCGGGAUAAGAUAUUUGUUUCUUAUGGUGACUUUGUUCAGGGCCCUGUAGUCAACACAUAAGCACAAUCUCCCAUCAUGCUUAUUCUGGAAUAGCACAGGCACUCCGAAAAAAGCCUUUGAUGGUCUGAUGAACCCGACUUAUAGAAGCUCAUCUAACUAUUUUUUCAGCUCAGCCAACUCUGGUGGGGCCAUGCGAUAGGGAGCUUUAGUAGGGGGUUUUGCUCCUGGGAGGAGCUCAAUUUCGUGGUCCACUACUCGUCGAGGGGGUAGAACCUUGGGCAACAUCUCUGGCAUCACCCUUCGAAUUCUUCCAACACUCUCUUCAUGCCAUCGAGUAUUGAUUCUACUUUCCGACCCUUCUUUGUAGAUCGGCAUGGCCACAAAAGAGGGUUCCCUCUCUUUACCCCUUUCUUAAACUGCAAAGCUGAAAUCAUUUUCUUCCCACUCUUUGGCAAGAUAUUGGCUGGCACCACACAUGUUUGUUCCCCUAAAAACAACAGGCAGCUAGCAGCGGGGAUAGGGAUUACCUGAGCCAACGUCAUGAAGUCCAAUCCGAGAAUGACAUCAAAGUCAUCCAUAGGGGAGACUGUGAAGUCUACCUUCCCUUCUCAUGGCCCCAAUUUGGUUGUCACACCCUUGGAGCUUCCACUGAUCGUAAAGGCUGGCGAAUUGACUGCCUUUAUUCGUCCACAGUCUUUGUUAAUCUGAAGGCCACACCUUUUUGCUUCUUCUGGUGUGAUGAAAGUAUCAGUUGCACCUGUGUCCACCAUGGCCUGGUGGCCUUCUCGUUGAUCAUUAGGUUCACAUACAUCAAGCCCCUACUUUGUUCUUUCCUUAUAGUGUUCAGUUGGGUGUGAAGGGCAUUGAGAAACCUUAUUGAGCCCAUCCUGGCUGGUUCCUCUUCGAUCUCUUCAAUGCUCUCUAACGCUUUUGUAGACUCUUGAGAUGAAGUCCUUAAAGCGUUAAGGGCUCCUCUGUACGGGCAUUCGGCCACCCGAUGCGGCCUCUUGCAAAGAAAGCAAGCUAGUGGUUGCCUAGGCCUGAAAGUCACUGCAUUGUUUGUUUUGGGCUGGGUGCUAUCUCGAUCGAAAGACCUCCUAUCUGAUCCCCCACUGAAGGGACGGUCUAAUCUGGUCAUCUUUUCCCCAUUUCCAAAGUUGAAGCUACUGCCAGCUGAUGAAGGAUUUUUCCGUUUUAAGAAGCCAUCAUUAUAGUCUUAGAGACGUUCAGCUGUAGCCGUGGCCGUGGCCACAUCUUGCACUUUUUGUCUUUAUAGUUCUGCUCUGGCCCAAGGCUUGAGGCCCUUGAGAAAAUAGAACAUCUUGUCCUUCUCGGACAUGUCUCGAAUAUCCAACAUCAAGGUAGAAAAGCUCCUUACAAACUCUCGCACUGUCCCUGUUUGCACCAAUUCUCGGAGUCUCCUUCGAGCCAUAUACUCCACAUUCUCAGGGAAAAAUUGGUUUUUCAAUUCCUGCUUCAGGUCUGUCCAAGUUUUGAUCGGGCACUCGUCAUUGACAAACUUGGAACGCCACCAAAGCUUGGCAUCCCCUACGAGGUACAUCGAUGCCAUUAUUACCUUGUCUUCCUCUGAAUCCAUGUGCACAGCCCGAAAGUACUGCUCCAUGUCAAACAAGAAAUUUUCAAGUUCUUUGGCAUCCCUUGCCCCCUCAUAACAUCGAGGCUCCGAUACCUUAGGCCUUCUCCCCCUAUCUGUCGAGCUCGAACCCGACCUGACCACAGCCAGUUGUAAGAUGCUCACCUGUGCUCUGAGCUCUUCAAACUCCUUUUGGAGAAUAUUCAAGGCAUCUCUAGCCUCCUCGCUCACGUUGUGGAGAGUAUCGGACAACUCCCGCUGGGUUGUCUCGAUCUCCCUCACUCGAUCUUUAGUCACCAUGUGAGUUUUCUUGCGGCCACCGCGGCCUCAAGUUCUUCAAUUCUCUGUUGAUGAUCAGGUCCACCACUUGUGGCCAUCUCAUCCAUUUUCUAGCACUUCUCAACCGUGCUCUGAUAUCACGUGUCACGGACUAAGCUUUCUCUCAACAAGCACUAGGCCGUGCGACACUUGAAUGGACACUUCCACCCAAGUCAGCCUUCAAUAGAUCGAUAUCUAAACAAAUAACCAUAAACCAUGGUUAGUCCCAAGCAUUCACAAUAAGACACAAUAUAUCGAGGUCAAUCUCAAGCAUACACACACAACAAGGCACAUCCACAUCGAGAAAGAAAGAAACGCAUCGAGGCAACAAUCGGGCAUUCAAUCGAGGUGAAUUUUAUUAUAAACGGGAAUCAUACAUCAAGAUCUCCCACCAUCACCAGGGCCAGGGGGCAGCCCUUGGUGGGUGGCCUAAGCUCGCAUAGCACCCGGUGAGACAGCCCAACACUACGUUGUCGGCUCACCCCCCUAAAAAGCCUUAGAGAUUUUAGAGCUAUGCUACCAGUAACCGUCAUAAUGUUUGAAAUGGAGACACUUUUCCUAGCACAAGAGAUCUACCCGACCAUGACCCUAUACAUGGGUGACUCAUGGCAACUUAAGUCCCGGUCAUAACCCUAUACAAAGUUGGCUCAUGACACUAUUCCUGUCAAAGGAUUGAUAGGGACCACCCUUUUUCCUAGUAUCAUAGGUGACCGAACGGCCGCCCUAAUAAGCAAUGGCAAGGCCGGUCUUGCUAUUCCUCCAAAUUAUAUUAGUAUAUACAUCUUGACGUGUGUAAACAAUUGCAUAUCCUCCCUUCCCACGGUUUCGCUCUCUUGGAACGUUCAUUCCUUGUAACAACAAUCCGACAUCUAAACCUUGUUGUUGCCACUAGACCAGUACAAACCUUCUUGUCCGAACUAUCUGUCCUCACACCCGAUAUCCGCUAUUAUUACCUAUGAUUCUAUUCUUAGAAGUGAUAGAAGUGAAAACAACGUAAUCUCCGAUCGAAGAAUACGGGGUUAUUGAGUUUAGUAAAUAUAAUGUAGGACAAAACGGGGUAUUUUUCCUAUAAUUAUAAUAGAGGGUAUUAGUUAAACUCGUAAUGAAAGAAUGAAAGGACAGAAGAGAGAACAAAUCACUUUAUAAUAAGGUCAGUAAGGCAACUCCUCUUUCAAGAGAAGAAGAAUCAGUCGUAGAUCAGCGAGACAGAAAGUAGGUGAUUAACCGAGGCGGGAAAGGAAGGUUGGCACAAAAGGAAGCAGUAUCAAUAGCAGUAGCAAUAGGAGAAGGAAAUCAGGAAAUUUGAAUAGGGCGAUGUUCGAAAUCGUGGGUUCGCCUAAGUAGCCAUGGAUCUGGGAACCCCUUAGCAUGUUCCCGCGCUUGGCCAGCGCAUUCUUUCAAAGAGAACAGCGCAUUCUUUCAAAGAGAACAGCGCAUUCUAGCACUAUCUAACAGCCUAUUCUUGUUCCAAUCGUUUGAGGAAAGCCCUUCUUCUUGCAAAAUGGGCAUAUAAAGAAAGAUAGGUGCCCCGAGCGGAGGCAGUCAACCAUCAAAGCGCUAAGCCCCUUACUCUUAGAAUUCUAACGGGUUACACACGCUUCAAGUUUCGACUGCGCCUUACCGCCUUAAGAUAGAAAGAGCCAGUGCCAUCCCCGCUUCCUCCUUUUCGGCCUAAUCCGCUAUCUUAUCUGCUUCUGUUUUAGGCAUCUAGAUAAGAAAUGUCAGUCCCUUGUCCGAUUCUGUGCAAGCCCUAGUUUAAUAUCUAUCCAAACCUCCCUCACAGUUGGGAUUCAAGUCUUAUGGCUAGCAGCUGCUCCUUUUAUGCCCCAGUUGUUCGUGGCACUUAUUUCAUUCUCAUGGCACUUGCCUUACCCAGCGUCGAAGUGAAGUGCUUUGUCCUGUUCUCUUAUUGGCAUCUAGUCUAGAUCGAUUUAUAACAGCGGUAAGCCCGAUAACAGGAAAAAAGGCAAAAACACUAGCUGAUAGAGAUGGCACAACUCCUUCUUCCUUCUCUGUGCGUGGCGUGGGUGUGGCUAUUGAUCGGAUAAUUGUUGUUAAAGAAGCACCUUCCCUUCUUUUUUCGCCUUACCGCUAGCAGACUAAUCGAAUACCUUUUUAUUCACCUUUAUGUCAGCCUUUUGAGCUAAUUUUUCAUCGAUUUCUUCAAAAAAGUAAGAUUUUAGCCCGCGAAAGACCGUCAAAAAAUGACAGAGAUAUUUUUUAUAUUCCUCUACCUCUAUAUGCCCUACAAGCAAGCAAGGGAAGCAGAGGCAGGGAACGAUACCGAUUCUCAAGCCGAAUCUGAAGCCGUUGUUUCAUCCGCCGAAAGAAAAUAAAGGCAGGCAAAGGGAGAAGCAGCCAAGUGCGCCAACCAACGCCCUGGGUAGUCAACCAUAUCAGGUAAGGACACGGUUAGCCAUCUCACCCGAGGAAAUAUUUGAUCACCUAUACUCCCGGCAUUUCUACUUCCGGCUAACCAAGGCGCGAAAGGAAGCACUCUAGACCAAGACCUAAGCACACUCCACUAAUCCCUUCGUAAACAAAGAGAAAAAGACGCGGAUUCCACUUUUGCAUAAGCUGACAGCUCCAGUUUCUAUCGAACCAACAGCUCCGGGUUUUCCUGAACCGACUCUAAUCUCAUCUAAACUGUAGGUAUCGAGGCUUCGCUCCCUGAGAGAAUACCACAAGUCAGUCGUCAGUUUGUCUUCGCUCCCUUCUGUAAUCUCUAGGAAAGAAAGGUUACUCGCUCGAGUGUUUUGAGAAAGAGAAAGACGAGCUAAAGCCAAGCGAACAACAGCUAUAACAAGAAGAGUGACUCCUUCCUGUUCCUGUGGCUUAGACCCGCGGCUUGCUCACAGCGUGGUAGACGUGUUUUGCAUGAAGACAGGGGCAAUGCUAUUAUUCUUUUCAGCCAAAAGCCUAUUCUUUAUGGUGUUCCAGUUGCUGGUCAUAAUCCCUAAAAAUAGAGAUAACGGGACGGACAGUCAAUCAGAUAAGAAGAUAAGGUUCUGAAAGAAAGGUAGCGGUUCUGUGAUUCGGCGGGUAGAGGAGAUCACUAUGAAGAAUAAAAGGCAUCGGAAGAGGGCUAUACGGCCCAAGAGGUAGCACCCUAAGGGAGAGUUCCUGGGUCACUCAAACAAGCUAGUAAGGAAAUACUUAUCAAACAAAACAAACACAACCAAGCCUCCUCUUAUCUUUAAAAAAAUAGUAUUGCUAUCGCUAAUCUAGCAAUCUUCAAGCAACUCGAUUAGGGUAGGCAGUGUGCAUUCUUCUCUCGGCUCUAGAACAGGAAUCGGGGAAGUUAGUCUUUCUUCUUUCUUUGCCAAAGCAGGGCCCACCGUUAUCAUGCAUGAUGAAACCUCUUGGUCUUCAUCUGAGGAGUGGCUUUCUUGCUCUCUUAGAUUGAAGGUGGUCCGCAAGGGCGACCGGAACCCUUAAUUCUUGCUUUGUUUGGGGGUAACCACUUCCCAAUCGUCAUCCUCAUUGAGAAUUGAGAUCGGGGUCUCCCCACAUUCUAUCUCCAUCUGGGCUAUUGACGGCUACCAACCCCCGCUCUAUCUCUUCAGAGUCAUCAGGGAUGACCCGAACUUCGGUGUCCAGAGGAUCCAUCUCUUCGACGUGUAUAGAGACUGGUUGCAGUGCUCCAAACCUUAUAGAUAUAGACACCAUCUUGGUAGUCGCUUUCUUUUCUUCCUCUCUUAGUAUUAAUGCUUUUGUCCGGAGGCCUUCUUGCACCAGCUCUUUACUUUAAAUUAAAGACAAAACACUGUCUUAGUCUAUGUCCUACGACCUGUGGUACCGGCAGUAGUUGGAAUCAUCCACUUUAUCGAUUUCGGCGGGUCGCUUACACGGAGGUAGAGUCAGCUGACCGUUAGCGAUCAACAUGUCAACGAUGGCGUCUACCUUGCUUUCAUCAAAAUCCCCGACUUUAGAGAGUCGUUCUUUGAGAGAUAUUUUCUUUGCCAGCUUCUUCUUUUCAUCCCCGUUUUCGUUCUUUUGCGCAGGGGCGUUGGGCUGCCCUUUGUUUGUUGAGGUUCCUUCUUGCCGUCUUGCGGCGAACAACUAGGGGAAAGACAUAACAUAAUAGAAGCUUUCUCCCCUUUUGGGAUGAGCUUUUUUAUUCCUAUUUUAGAGACAUCUGCCUCCUGAUUUGCUUGCUUAUAGGCUUCACAGGCUGGUGAGCUGCCAUCCCUGAUCAGCUAUUUACGCAAGCUACCGCUUGUCCUGCUGGGCUGAUAUCGCCACUAUGGUGAAACAAAUCUUUGUCCAUAGGGUGGAGGAGCUUACUGAGUCAAGUGGUUUAAGUCCUUCAGACUACGAAAGAAAGGUUCAAAGGACCUGCCCUUCUACUUGGUCAAACCAUAGGACAGGGAAAGACAAUAUUAAAAAAGGUCUGGGACGAAUCUUGCAAAACUCAGCUUAAAGGCAAAUGGAUCCGGAAGCUAUAAAUAUUAGCUACCUUUGCUCGUGCAAUAAAUUUCUUCGAUAAAAACCUAUUUAAAGCGGGUAGGAGCUCUUUUUCUUUAGUCCACUCUAAAUCUAACUCUUAAAAGUAACUCAAUCUAGAGGAUCAAUCUGACAUUUACAAUUCAACUUAUCGAAAACAUUGAAUUGCCUAUAUUGAUGGUCAGAGAUCAAGGGGAAGCUCUUUAGAAAAGUAACCUAGGAGGGAUUUACCAACCGCAUACAAAGAAAGCGUUCUUCAAUCUAUGGAAUGAGGUAAAGGAAGGUAAAUUCUGCCUACCUAAAGGACAGAAGAACUAGGAGUUGAAAGAGAAGUCAUGAAAUGAAGACAAGACCAAGGGAAUAUGGGACAAGAGGAUUCAGACUUUAUUUCUGUCUUGACUAAUUCUUCUUUGUAUAACUUUCUACUUUUGCAAGCUUUGAAGAAAAAGGCUUGUUUUUUUUCCCCCCUUUUUUCUGAGCUAGACCUUGUUUUCGGUUUUCUGACCUCUUUUCCUGGGACUUUUCUUUGUGCAGGACUUCUGUACGUGAUCCUUAGCCUCAGUUGGACGGCCCAGCUUCGGAGAAAGCGGCUUCAUUUGUGGGCGGCCUUGGUUCUGGGGGAGCGGCGGAGCGUCAAGCUCCGGAGUCAGAGUCAGUUCUAUACCCGAACCCGGUCUUUCACUUACUGUUUCUGUUUCAGACAAAGUGAAGAAGUCGCCUUCGGAGGAACUCAGAGUACGGAUCGAUUCGGAAGAUUCCAAAGGUGGAGCAUUCAUUCCAAACGGUCGAAGUGUAUUCUUUCCAGAUUGGGGUUGGUCAUUCGACCCAGAAAGACUAACAAUCAAACCAGAUACCACAAAAAAACCUAAAAAGAAAGAAUAUAAGUCUAAUCGCAGAAAUGGAAUGAAUACACAUAUAGAUGAAUAAGUUUCUAACUCUUUCUUCGAUCUAUUUCGAUAUAUAUAUUCGAUAUAAUCAAUAAAUAAGAUGAAAAAAAGAAGGAGAAAUGGACCAGACCAGUAUUCAUUAUAGCAGUUCCUUAUUCUCUGAUUGAGUGGGAUGCUUAUCCGGUGUUAGUACGGUGGAUGAAUCGAAUUUGAUGUGUUCAGCAUAGUGACAGUGACACGGAUCCCUUUGAUCAUAAGCAGCAAUCCCUUGCCUCCAGGUCUUUCCCUUGCUCUUGCUUUCGGGCGAAGGGAACGUUCUUUUCAGUGACAAAUGUCCUUUCGUUGGCCAUAAUUCUUCGCUAUAACCCAUGUUUCCAAAAGGUUUUCGCUAAAUAGAGUGGAUUUAGGCGGCAUGCAAUUUUUUCUACUUUGAGAACUGAGUGUAAAGAGGCCGUUUACUCCUUCUAUCCUCCAAUUCCUUUCCCUGGAAUGAAAGCCUAGAGCAUCUUAUCUCUGUCUUACUACGAUAAACCUUCUUUUCAAAGAGCAGACAGAGAAGGAUCUCUAAUCAAUGUAAUGUCCAAGCCCUUCUUCUCGAAGCAGCCUAUUCUAUCAAAGGCAAAGUUCACAUAUUAGGAGUUGAAUUCCCUAGUGAUACACUUUCCUAAAGCAAGAGAAGAGAGCGUGCGCUGUUGAUGAUACACAUUGCAUAAGUACAUACUAUACGGAAUCACGAAAGCAUAGUGAGAGCAAACUCCAUUUAAGGAAGCAAGACCUAUUAUGCAACUAUAAAGGUAGCUCCUGACCCUCGGGGAGAGCCUUAUAAAAAAAAAAGAGAGAGAUCUUUCUUUACAGCGAAGAGAUAAGAAAGAACUUUAGCGCGUGCUAAGCCCUAGCUUUCAAAGACUAUCCCUGCUCUCAGUCAGUGCGUAAUGCCUGCUUUUUUUCGACAGUAGGCGAUCUGUGCUAAAUAGUUCAAGUAGCAAUUCCUGUCAAUGAGGGAUGGAAUUUCUUAUUCUAGUAAGAUCUUUCAUCUCCGGCUAUUGAGCCAAGUGGGACAGAAGGAACUCUUACUCUUAACGUUCUCGUUCUCCUAACCGGUGCUAGUGAAAGCAAAUAACAUAGUUAAAGAAGAAGAAGAGAAUGCCCCGAGAGAAGAAGUCAGGGAAUGAGCUGGUGCUAUAGCCAGAAUCGGUUGUGAAAGAUUGUUAAAAUCAUCCGCAGCCAGUGCUUGAGAAGGAGAGUUUCUAAUGUUAAGGGUCUUGGAGUACUUUGAGUAAUAGAAGUCUUAGAAUCUGCUUCUAGUCAAGGUAGUCGAAGACUUCUUGAGCCUUUGAGAAGAGGGGGAUGAUAAAGAUAGGUUGGAUAGCAUCCGAUUUGAAACUGCUCGUAUCAGCUCAACCAGUAAUGAGUGUCUUAAGGAACUCUAUUACAUUCCCUUCUUCCUCACAACUAUCUCUUCUUGCAGCGCAUAUGCGCUAUCGCAUAUGAGUUCUUUUUUCAAUUCUAUUCCUUCGCUUCGCCCAUAUUGAGUUCCGUUCCAGCAGGCAAGUUAAGGGUUUUCCUGCUUCUAAUUAGCAAUAAGUGCUUUCUUUUCCACCUGUGCCUGGUGAAUUACUAGCUUUCCCGGAAAGGGCCUAUAUAGGUAUAUAUACAUAUCUUUCCAGGGUAAGGUCUUCCCCUCCAGCCAGUUCUUUUAAUCUAAGCCAGCAGCUGGGGCUAGAACAAGGAAGUUUGAAAGCUUUUCCUUUUUUCUUCUUCUUUUUCUCCUUCUUCUUAGCUUCCCCCUUCUCCUUUUCCUGAUGACAAAGCCUUUAUGCAUCUGUCAUCCCUACACCCGGCGUUCUUCGAUCACAUAAUUAUGGUUUCCGCUAUGAGAUAAGGAAGACUAGCCACUGCUCAAAAUAAAGAAAGACAUUCCUGCAGAGAAAAAGGCAGUGCCAAGGUAAGGGCUGGGAAUUUGGUUCCGCAUAUUGUAUUCUCUUGACUUGAGAAGGUUGUUCGAUUUAAUUGGCUUAAAUUUAUACUCGAGCGGAGCACCCAGAAAGGCGCGCUGCAACUGGGAAAUUUCGUCUUUUUCACCUUAUGCGUGGAGCUAGAGGCAUGCUUCCCCACUUGACAAUCGAGCUUCUAAAGGGAAUCUAUCAUAAUGUGGAACCGAGAAAGUUCGACUACUUUUGUUUGUACCUGAUCAGGUGCAUUUCACGCUUCUACGAUUGAGUACGAAACUUAUUCACCUGAUCGUGUUUCGAAUUACGCCCCUCAAGGCACUCAUCACUCUUUGCUUUGGCUUUGAGCACGGCCAUAUUGACUUGUUUCGGAAAUAGCAGCAUCGGCUUGAGAAUUCUCUUAUUUCUUUCUCGGACCCAACCUUAGAAAAGAAAAGAAGAUCCUCUCAUCUGCUUCCUUACCAACUGCCCAUCUGGAAAACCGAUAUUCAAAUUCCCAGCUCGGCUUACGCGAUCGAUGAUUGUUAGAACUAUCUUCGCCCUGCUCAAGGCUAUCCGCUCUACUCACAUACCACCGACACAAUCGUCAAUUUCAUCACUCAGAAAAAGAGUCCACUAGCAAGACAAGAGGCUAGGUCAGUUCAAGAAAUAGAAGUGGAAGUUAAAAAAUAACACUUCCUUUCCCUUUUCCUUAACCUUCAACUAAGCUUGAAGACAUCAUCUACUUUUAUCCCCUAUAGGAUGGCAAUCUAGUGUAUGGUACUUUUAAGUAUGAAAUAUCGUAAGAGAAGAAAAGUGAUUUCACUAUGAAAUUAGACAACUAGGGAUCAAAAAAGUACUCUAACCAUCUUAGGAAAGUCAAUCACCAGUCCCCUAGAUCGCUAUCAGUUCAGUGGCUCUCUCUCUUUCUAUAUGAUAUUUGAAGAGAGGAUUAUUUAAGAAUCGAGUCUGUAAUAGCUGCACCUGCCGAUUCUUCUUCAAUUGCUAUUAGUUCUUUCUAGUUGUGGCCUAAACCUAAAGGAAUUAACUGUCAACGAAAGCCCCAAACCAUUCAACGGCAUUAGCGGUCUAGGCUCUGCUCUGAGGGAAGCUUCAUCUCACGAGCAUGAGACUAGGUUUACACUGAGAGCCUAACCCUAAUAAGGGACUACUUCAUUGAGACUGCUAUAAAGAUCAAUCUAGCGCUUACUAUAAGUCUAAGCACCUGUUGCAUCUUGGUAGUCAGAUAGAGACUAACUUGGAAAAUUCCUUCACCUUCGCUCCAACACUUGUUACAGCAUAAGGAGACCGGGAACUGCACACGCGUGUCCCGGGGGGCUUCCAGGCCGAGAGGCUGACCGAUUGUUUAGAAGAGAGGCAUGGAGGCGCCAAAUUGCCUGAAAUAUUCGCUAGUCUCCAAGAGAGAGGGCACCAUAGCCCCUACUUUCAGGAGGUACAAGCGGAUUUCCGAACCCUGCGUUCUUCGGGAGGUACGGAAAUGCAACUCCGCAGGGAGUGGCAGGGCCGAGGAUAAUAACCUCUCUUCCGAAGAAGUUCUUUCUUUCAUAUAUAUAGAGAGAUAGAAUCCGUGUCAUGAUUUAUGAGCUAAUGUGCCAUUUUUUCUUGCAUUUUCUCGGGAUUUUUAGAUGCAAUUGGAAUAUUAGAAUACAAAACUCCCAUGUCUUCCGUUGGUCAACAACCAACAAAAGGAAACUCUAGUUUUUCACUAAAAGUACAGGCUUGACGGAGUGAAGCUGUCUGGAGGGAAUGGAAGAAUUUAGAAAAAAAAAAAAUGCCUCAAUUGGAUAAAUUCACUUAUUUUUCACAAUUCUUCUGGUUAUGCCUUUUCCUCUUUAUUUUCUAUAUUCCAAUAUGCAAUAAUGGAGAUGGAGUACUUGGGAUCAGCAUAAUUCUAAAACUACGGAACCAACUGGUUUCACACCGGGAGAACAAGAUCCAGAGCAAGGACCCCAAGAGUUUGGAGGAUAUCUUGAGAAAAGGUUUUAGCACCGGUGUAUCCUAUAUGGACUCUACUUUAUUCGAAGUAUCCCAAUGGUGUAAGGCUGUCGACUUAUUGGGAAAAAGGAGGAAAAGAACUUUGAUCUCUUGUUUCGGAGAAAUAAGUGGCUCACGAGGCAUGGAAAGAAACAUAUUCUAUUUGAUCUCGAAGUCCUCCUAUAGCAAUCCUGGAUGGGGGAUCACUUGUAGGAAUGACAUAAUGCUAAUCCAUGUUCCACACGGCCAAGGAAGCAUUUAAAUAUCAUGGAUAAAUUCACUUAUUUUUCACAAUUCUUCUGGUCCCUCUUGACUUUCUAUAUCUAUAUUCUCUGGCUCAACAAACCUUUAUUUCUAUUAUUUUACUAAUAGAAGCCUUCGCCUCUUUUUGCUCCUUUUUCAAUAUCUUAUUAUGACCCUGUUUGUAAUAAGAUAUUCUAUUCUACUUUUGGGGAAUCUGCUCCAACUAGUGGAUUCCCUCUUUUUAUUCAUGAUUCCACAGGGCCAGGGGGGGCUCGCUCCCUAUGUUGUCCUGCCGAUGAAUCCGGGUGAACCUGCACCAGCACCUGCACCCGGAGAGCCCGUCAUCCCCCCGCUUCCAAAUCCUCCACCCCUAAUUCCCGAUCCCGAUAUGGUUCGUCUGAGAGAGUUAGAGGAUCGCCUCUCAAUCAAUUGAAUUGGAAAAAAUAUCACCAUGGAGGCGCAGAAUAAGAUCCUCGCAUACCAAAUGGGGAUAGAAAUGAGGGUUGAAGACGCUUUAGUUCAGGAUGACGUUUUACGCCCUUCCACUUUUUUUUCCCCACAUACGGGGCUUUCUUUUCUAUCCACGGGGGACUGCUCUCUCCGAAAAUACCUAUCCAAAUUUGAUUAACACUAUCGACAACGAUGGUAUUCGCGAGUGUGCUCCAUACAAGCGGGUUCUCCAAGCAAUAAGGGAAAAGAAUCUAGUCCU
rnacentral:lncRNA from 1 species